UUGUGUCUUAAGUAAACGGCUAACGGACAAAGUAUUCAGAUGUUGGUAUCUUAGUGAGUAAUUAAUUAAGUUACGUUUUCCGUUUCGUUUCGUUGUGACAUACGUGUAGUUUGAUUUUUUUUUUUUUUUUUUUUUUUUUUUUUUUUUGCUUAACAUCAACUUAUCAUUAACCAACUUAAGGAUUACAAUUCAUUCAACCUCAACUCGUUUGACCCAAAUGCAAUGAAACUGUCUAGUACCACCCUGGAACACUUAGAUGGAUCCAACGCUACCCGACGCGAGUCAUUGCAUUGUUACAACCACUGCAAGAUGAAAACACCCCACUAUUCGGAGUGAGAACAUCUCUUAGACCACCUAAAUUAACCACUAUGACACGAAAACAACUACUAACUCAGAGGAAACCAAAUCUUAAACUGAAUUACAAAUCGAUUCCAAGCUAUGAGACUCUUAUGAUUAGCGUGUAGACCGUGUCCCGAUAGCGUCCACACCCAAAGAUGCAUCAUCAGAAAACUUGGGAUCUCCGGCUUUUGUUGUUCCGGUCUUAAACCAAAAGCAGACACUAAAUCCGAAUGAACCGACUAAAGAUACGAGGCAAAACCGGCAUGACUCGAGCAUUCUCCGAACUAACCCGUCAAUAGCAGGAUACUAAUCGAUUAAAGAUAACUCAGUGGAUCCCGGAUUAGUACGACCUCACCUUCACGGUGCAUUGCCGGAACAAUCUCGCCGCAUGUGCCUUGAUGCCUCGCUCCAUCGACGGACUGGACCAGACUUGAGGGGGCUCACUCGAUCUCCGGCUUGAGGACAGCCUCAUCUCGGCCACCGUCGACCACAUCACCUCCCCAACGCCUGGAAGACUCUGACUCCGACUCGACCAUGGAUCUCUGAUCGGCUAGAAUCUCCAAGGAGGGAGCGGAAAGACCGGAGCGCUGCACAGAGCAGCUCCGCACUCCCACCAGGCUCCCGGAGAAGGAUCGAGCCGAGAUCUCUCUCCUGCAGCUACUGCCUCCGCGUCGUCUUCACCUUCGAUUGAGCUACUCCUUAGCCUUCCGAAGAAACCGGUGCCGAGUCGAUCUAGACAUACACUACAAGACAAGAAGACGAAAAAGAAGAAAGGGGGCCCUCUCUCACCGCCGGCGAAAGCCCCGGGCGGCGGAGAGGCAGCGGCGGCUCAGAUCUAGGUUUGCUCUCUCGGGGACUCUCGCUUUUCUCUCUCUGGUCUCGGUCCGUUUGAUUUUUUUUUCCUUGAGGUCAUAAUCUGAGUGAUAAGCCUGAAUUUAUCAAUAAAUCGAAUGGUAAGGUUGAUUUUGGAGUUUAUUUACACUUGUUGUUGCAUGUGAGAUGACUUCGUUUACAUUUUAUCUCGGGAACAUGUACAAAUGUCACAUAAGUUUUACUUUUUACUCUCCAUGCAUUUUUGUUUUUUGGCCUAUUCAGUAUUCACACAUAUUGGGACAAUUUCAUUUACAAGUCUAUAAUUUUUUUUAAUUUAAGGUUUUUUUCUUUGUAUUAAAAAAAUGGUGUUGAUAAAUUGAAAAAAAAACAAUAUCUAGAAAACAUUUAACUUUGUGAAACACAAUUAUAUUUCAAAACAUUUAAUAUUUUGAAAUGGAAAAGUUUUAGCAGUUUGCAGAUUCGAACUAACAUGGUCAGAAAAAUAGGGUAUAUCUAGAGACAUUUUUGGAUUUGGAUUCAAAUAAUGAUAUUUAAUUAAAAUGGAAAUAUAUAGAUCUGUUUCAUAUAAUUUUUUUUUUUCAGAAACAUGUGUAUAUGAUUUAUAUAAUACAAUAGUAAAUAAUAUUCUAAAAUCAGGGUUAAUUUUGAUAGACAUGUGACCGUCUAAUAUAUAGUCGCAAACUAUAACUAUAACUAUGUUUGGUCAAAUCUAUAUUCAUAUCAUCAUAUGUUACGUAAGAUAAAAAUCGAUACGCGAAUGUCUUAUUUUUAUCGAAUACGCAAAUCACCAUCCAUUCUACCAUCCGAAAAAAUUAGGGACUAUUCAACAUUCGAAUCUUUUAUAAAGAAAAGGAAGUUAGGCGUUAAAAUUUUGUCAAACCGAAAAAAAAAAUCAAAUAUAGACUAGACUUUAACCACUGCUUGAUACUACAACAUAGCUAUUAAUUUUCUUAAAACAAUUGGUACCAACCAAAUCUCUUUGAAAUCAUCAGCGCAAAAGGUAUUGAAAUCUAGCCAAGUAAAGAAUCUCCCCUUUUUUGUGGGUGAGCAAUUUCUAGAUCCAUCGAACCAUCACAAGAUAGUCGAAUCAAGCAUCUGAGUCGCUUUAUUUUCCUGCCCAAAUCCUUCACGGAGUUUAUACACCAUGCGCAUCUAUAUAUUUACAAUUAAAAUAUCUUAAAAAUUAUAGUAAACAAUUUGGAAAAAGUUUCUAAAAUAAAAACGUAUGCAAAAUCAAAUUCUCUUCUGACUUUCUCUUUCUGCCAAUGUCAAAAUGAUUUUACUUCAGUUUGCUUACCUAAAAUUUAAAAAAAAAUAUCCAAACUUUGGAUUGCUUUCUAUAAAAUAAAUGUAAAAGUUAAUGAACGAAAAUGCAUUAUAUUGGUCAGCUAUAAUAGCUAUCUAGAUUCAGUAAUUUUAUACACUAAUGAACGAUUUAAUAAAACUAAAUGAUUCAGACAUCAUUCCUUGACACGUUUUACAAUGAAACAUGUUGAUAUAUCAACUUAUAAUUUUCAGAUUAUUCCACUUAUAAGUAGAUAUUUUUAGUUGGCUUAGGGUCUGACUGGUUUAAACGCAGCGGUUGCGGUUGCGGUUACGGGAGUUUGCGGAAGCGGGCGGUUGCGGCUUCAAGCGUUAUCAAGUGUUUUGAACGACUGGUUUAGCGUUUGAAAAUGGGUGCGUUUGCGGGAGUUUUAUGACUGGUAAACCAGCGGGUGCGGUAGCAGUUAAAUAAAAAAAUGACCAAAAUAAAUAAAAAAUAUUACAAAAAAAAGAAAUAAAAACACCAAUAUAUUAUUAUGAUAAUAUUAGAAAAAUUGAACAUGCUUAAUAAUUAAAACCAUAAAUAAAGUACUAAAUAAUUAUUCAAAAAUAAAUAAAUUUUGUAACAAGAUAGUACUUUAUGCAUCUCGUUUAACAUCAAGUAAUGGGACAAAUUAUAAAUAACGUUGAGUUCAAUCAAAAAGCAAGUGAGUUUUUAUUCGAGAAAACAAAUCGAAACAUAUAUUCAAUCAAAAAGCAAAGCAAUACGUAAUGAAAAGAAAAAAAACGAUGCCAUGAAAAAUAUUCAAAAAGUUACACAUGAGGUGAUGAAUGAAUAAAAGGAUAUAUGAUACUUACGUUUGGUUAUUGAUUUUCAUCAGUUUGGAUGGAAGACAUUGAGAGAAAUAGGGUUUCAAAAUAUUAUUAGGGUUUCUGAUGAGAACGUGAUACAAAAAUGAAAGAUUUAUAUAUGAUUAAUAUAUAUUAUAAUAAUUAUAAGUAAACGUUUGAUUUUUUUUUUUUAAAAUCCAACCGCUACCGCCCGCAACCGCAAACGCUUGCGGGAAGGAGCUUUUGAAAUUUAGCGAUUUCGAGCGGUUCGAAGCGGUAUAGAGCGGUUUCUAUGAUUGGUACCAACCGCUAACAACUGCAACCGACCGCUAGUAACCGCUAGGAGGGUGCUAGCGGGAGAACCAAUCAAGCCCUUAAUACAUGAAUAACUUAUGGACUUAUAAUUCUAUAUUCAUUUUAACUAUGUGGAUCAACCUCUUUAAAUCCUGCAAGUAUGUAACCGAAUAAAUAUAAAUUGAAGGAAAAUUCAAAUUCAGAUUAUUUGGGCGGGUUGGAUGAACCCAUAUAAUUUUCAUAUUUUCUAGUUAUUAUUGUUUUAAUAAAUAAGAGUAAGGUUAUUUAUUAUGUUUAUAUUAUCUCAGCAGAUAAUUAAUAUGUUUGUAAGGGUUUUUAACGUGACAUAUUAAAUUUGAUGAAAUGGAGAAUAUGACAUUACGACACCGAAAAAAAACCAAUAAGGGAAAAACAAAUUACUCCCCCUGUUUCAUGAAGUUUGAUGUUGUGUAUUUUGCACACAAAUUAAAAAAAGAUAACUUUUAUACUUUUUAAUUACUAUUUUAUUUGUUUAAUAAUAUUAAUUCCAUUUCUCUUCUCUCUAUUGGCCACACAUAAAAAUAAUAAUAAAAUUGAUACAAAACAUCAAUCUUUGUGGAACAAGAAAGAAACUCAUAACAUCAAUUUUUGUGGAACAAAGGGAGUAGUAUUUAAGGCUGUAUAUCUUAACCGGUAACCAGUAUCCAAGGAGUUUUUUUUCAUUACAUCAACAUGUUGGGCAACUUGCUCUUCUAGAUGAUAGAAUCACACCAUGCACAGCUCAAAAGAAUAAUUUUAAAAAAUUUAAAAUUAAAAUAUUAAAGAAUCUAAUUGUAAUAAAUAUCUAACUUCUGGAAAAGAAAUAAAUUUAAAAACCUGGUCAGCUUUACUCUUGACAAUUUAUUUAUUGAAUACAAUGAAAAAAACUAAUACUCCCUCCGUUUUAUAUUACUUAUUGUUUUAAUUUAUUUCACACAAAUUAAAAAAAAAAAUUAUUUUCACCCAUAUUUAAUACACUAUUUUGUUUGAUAUAAUUAAUUAAUAAACUAAAAAAUAUAAACAAAACUGGAAAAUUUCCAUAAAUCUGUAUUGUAAAUACAAAACGACAAGUAAUAUAAAAUAAAUUUUUAUUUUUAAAAUGCCAAAUAAACCAACCCGGGGGGGGGUAUAUCUUAGAAAAAAAAGUUUUAUAAAAGAUUGGUUUUUCCUGGCCCCGGACCCGGAAAUUAAUUUCCCCCAAAAUUUGGUAUUAUAACAACAUUGCAGCCUAAAGUUUUUAAAAUUUUUUGGAAAAUAUUUGUAAUUUAGGCCAAAAGGAAAACCAGUUAUUCCAAUGAGAAAACAAAAAAUGGGGGGGGGGGGGGGGCACAUAACAUAAUUACGACCGUUACCAGUUUCAAUCGAAAAAAUGUUAAUAACAUAAAAAAAAAAAGGAAAAUUAAGAGAAUGACUUUUAUAAAUUUGGGGAACACAUGGUUGGACACGUGUUACAUAAACCACAUUGAGUUGCUUCGCACCGAAAGAUACAACUAUGAGCUUUUGGGGUCGGCUUGGUUGUCUUAUGUCUGGUCCGAGACCAAAAAGGCCACAACGCGUAGGGUCCAAUCGAAUUUACUAACAACUGCUCCUUAACAAAUUCCGUGUUCCUUAAACUUCAUUUACAUUAUAAUUAAUUAACCUCUCACGCGGAUCAAAUUAAACCGGUCAAAGAAAUCUUGGACGUUGAUUAAUUUGUCAGUACUUGAUUGAUUAUUUUACUCUUCUUUACCAUGUCAUUACAUUAUAAUUAAUUAACCUCUCACGCGGAUCUCACGCGGAUCAAAUUAAACCCUCUAUAGUUACACUGUUGCCGAGUGCCGACACACAUCUUAAAAUUUUAUAGAUAUAUAUAAUUUAAUAAUAGUUUAAUAAUUAAUUACUUGGUUAUUUUCACAUUAUCUGUUUGCUACUUUGUUUGAUUGGUGAGUCAAACCGAAAGCAAUGACGAUCGAGGAAAUUUCGUCACGUAUAUGUUUACAAACUCAAAUUCUGAUGAGUUAUGAAUUGCGAGAAGUGAAUAUGUGUCGAGGUCAAUGACACAUGAAUAAUGUUUGUCGGAGUAAUUCACAAGAACUUCGACGAGGUUUUCCGGACAAAAUCUAUGUAGUCUGCCUAUCGGUUCGUCUCAUAGGGUUUGACUAAAAAAAAGAAAAAUGACUCACUACUAAAUCAUCAAUCAAAAACAUACCUGACUUUAUAAAUCCAUUCAGACCUAACAAAUAAUGAUCGAAUAUUACCAAUACAAUGGCUAGAAAAGGGUAUGGCAUAAAUGUUGGUCCAUUUUCUCUAGAAGUUCACAGAUUUGGUAUCCAAAAACUUGUAUUGCAAACAAAGCUGGAUUUCUUAUAGUUUAAACUUUACACUAUUUAUUGAAUUUAUCAGCUGUUCAUUUGAGGUUGUUCAAAACACUGUUAUAUUAUCAUAUGAUCGGAUGACACACACACUUUCUCAACGCCACGAGGUCAUCCACCUGGGUCUUAUUCGUCUAAACUCUGUUAUAUAUUUUCUUUUGUUAUUUUUUCUCAAAAAAUAUAAUUUCAGAUUGACCCAAAUAUUUGACGAUGAUGUAGAUCACCUACCCACACUUUUGUUUCCUCCUAAAAGAUAUCCACCCAACCCAAUUUUAUAUGAUUCAAUCACAAGUCGACGUCAGUAAAGUAGACUAAGUAGUAAACUUGUAAACACAGUUUAGGUGAGUUUAUUGUCGUCAAGAAAUACUUGUAAAGAUUCGAUAUUAUUCCUUGACCAAAAUAUGAGCUAUAGUAUGAAUAACUGAACAAUAUGAAACUCAGUAUUAAAUCUGUAAAUUUGUAAAUUUGAUCUCAGUAUUACAAGAUUUAGAUCUCAGUAUUAAAUCUGUAAAUUUGAAAUAAUUCCAUAUAUAGUUGAGGUUUUAUAUUCUUAGAUAACUAGCAAUUAUUUCCUAGAAUAGCUUAUGCAUAAGUUCUUUUGAUUUUUAUUAUUCAUUUUGAAUUUCAUGUCUUCUAGAAUAUCUUUUUGAGUAUUGUUUGGCAUAUAAAAUAUGGUACCAAUUAUUCCCGAAUCCCGAUCGAUCACAGAGAAUAUGAAAAAGAGUUCAAAUUCAAGUUUGAAAGAGUAUCAAGUCUGUCCGGUUCAUUGGCCAAGUGGGAUUGCGGUCUCCACCACUUCGUUAAUAUACGGUCCAUGUUUAAGCCGGUCGACCCGGGUGUUACAAGUAAACGGUAUCGUUUCACUCAGCCACAUUGCUCACAAUAGACUUCAAACUCAAUUGAGCACAAGAAUCACAACCCUUCCACUUGUAUAUUUCUUUAUUUCAUAUAGAUUCACCUAAUCCUAUUUUGAUAAAUAAUUCAUGGAAUAAAUUUAAUUUAAAUUAGCACAUGAUGCACAUAUAAUUACUCGCUUUAGGACGACGACACUGGGGAAUGGCUAAAUAUCUAGAUAAGAAAAAACGAAUUUUCAUCAUGGGCAUCGAAUUUAUAUAAUAAUGUCACACAUUAGAAUAAAAUAGAGAGCCUUUUUCAUCCACUAUAUUAACUAAUUAUUUAAAAUAUUCAGCAUGUUCAAAUAGUUACUGCAUCAUGUUAUAAAGUAUGAUAAUUAAUAUUCCUAAUCUAGAGAGAAAUAGUUCUAUAUAAAUAGUAAUAUAGUAUCUAAUUGAAUGUCAUUAAGAAACAAGAGAACGGUACCACUAAUCAUUUGUAACAAAUAAAAACCAUCGAAGCCUCAUAAAAUCAUGUGGAUCGAUGCAUCUUGCAAUACUUAAGUUACAAAAAUAAAACCCUUUAAACGUCUUUGAACCCAUUAUGUUUCUUUGAAGUUUGAACAAAGACCCAAUUUAAUAUUUUUAAUCAUAAUUAUCUUUCUUUUGUCAUCUAGUGUAGAUAUUUUUUUAAUGAAUUAUUUAGGAUAAUUUUCUUGUAAAUCAUAUGUACAUAUGAAUCUUAGUGCUCUUUUUACUAUUGAUCAUAUUCGCAAGGGUAAGUGCGUGUACGAGUGACUGUGUGAAAAAGGGAUAGCUAAGAAAAAGAUGCACACACAGACACAACUUCACGACAAAAGAUGCCGUGAAGAAUUUGGCCCAGGGAUUGCGAGAAUAAUCAACACUUGUUUGGUAUAGUGCCUUACAUGCAUCGACAUUUACAAAUCACACACUCACACACACACCCUAUAAAAAGAUCCAUCAUGAAUAAAUACAAAUGCAUCUCAAAUUGAUGAGAACCCUCGCAACAAAUGUUAAUUUAAUAUACUAUAUAUCUACGAUUGUCAUAAUUUGGUGGUAUGUAUAUCACUAAUUAUGUAAUAAAUCACAUACAGACACACACAGAGAUGUUUGCAUAUAUGUGAUGAAUAGAAAUGAAGAUGAUAUUGGGCACAAAUGACAUGGUCAUUAUAUUGUCAAAGGUAUGGGACAAUGGCAAUACAUGGGAAUGGUAUGUUUUGAUUCCAACCAACCCCAACAAGCACAACAACGACAAUUAUAAUUAAUAUAUAAUUAAAAGUUUUUGUUAUAAUGUCCUUUAUGGAAUUCUAAUUCCAAUAUUCUCAAUUAUUAGCCACAUAAAAGAAUAUAGAAUAGUAAAAAAUGCCCAUUUUCCAAAUUUCCGAAUUCAAUAACAACUACGAUUGGUUCGAUUAUAUAUGUCGUGAUAAGAAUAAAUUUCGUUUCACCAUCCUUUCGGGGUUACUGUUUCGUUCCAUAUUGUCAUGAUUUGAUUUGUUACUGUAAAUUCUUUUUCUUUUAUUGAUUAUAUAUUCCUCGUUGUGUUGCUCUUUUUUCGAAGUUAAUAGACAUUCUCACCUUCCAACACACAAAUUUUUUCUCAUUUUUUUUUAAAUUUUAUUUCAAAAAAUUAGUUUUGUGAUUUGAUAAUCUAUUGUGAAGUUCGAAUAUAUGCUUAUAUAUACAUCAAUCUAAGUUAUGGAUGACAUAUCAACUUGCUGAUUUGCGAUUCUAGUUGGUCCAGCUUUAAGUGAAGCAUAAUCUACUCUUGUGGUGUCGUUUUGUUGAUUAAGACAUUAUUUAUAAGAUAUUUUGAUUUAAUCUACUCUAACAAACUUUUCUUUAGAUUUCGUUUAUGCUUCAUUAAGUGUAAAAUAAACCUUGUUUGUUCCUUAAAUAUCAUAAGAAUUUGACGACGAGUCUGAAUUAUACGAUUCAUUUAGGCGCAUCAAGAAUCUGAAAAUGUUACGCUUCUCAUAUAAUUGGAGCCAUCGAUCAUUAGAUCCACAAAUUCAAUUACCACAAGUACAUGAAGGCAAUUCUUCAAAAUUCUUCAGUUCUUACCAUAGAGUAGUGAAUAUAAUAAACACUGAGAUCUAAAGAUCCUUAAUGUAAUCGAUCCACUUGUACUUGAACACUAUAUAUUUUAGACAAAUUAAUCUGCCUAAAUCGACCUUCCAGAUUCAACCAAAGCAAAUGAGCAUCAUCAAAAUAAAUUGUGCUAGAACCUAGAUCCUUCGAGAAGAGUUCGUAAUCCAGGUACAUACCAUAUCACUGCAUCGAGUCCAUAAUCCGUAAUCAACGUGUGAUUCUGGUGGUUUAUUAAUGCUAAUUCCAUUGAUGAAUCCGAGAUCAUUUUUUGUAUUUAGAGCCUUGAGGAUAGAUCGGCGCCAAGUAUGAAAGUUAAUUAGAUUCACCGGUAAGCUUGUGAAGAACCAGAUUCACACCGGAACUAUCAGCGGCAUGAAAAAACAAUGGAUCAAAAUUUAUUGAAACCCCAAAAAUAUUGUGUUGAUUUAUUCAUGCCCAAAGCAUAUUUAUAUCAAGCAAAUUGUGACAUGUUGCAUUAUAGUGGAUAUGGAUGUGAUCGUAUUGGUAAAAUGUCGAUGGAGAUCAUUAGAAUUGCAUUUUUUGCAUAGUUUGCAACAGUUUCGAGAAAUUUGAAAUAAAAGCUCUUUUAUCUUUCAUAUUUUAUCACAUGCUUUUGUUCAUAAAUCUUGAUUACAAAAUCAAUGUAUACUCAGCUACUUAUACCUGAAAUAUGUAUAUAGACAACUAGACAAGACCAACUUUAGAUUAUAUCAAAGAUUAAACCAUGUUAAAAGAUACACGAUAAUGUAGCAAAAUAUUCAAUCCUUACUUAAAUAAGAACAAAAAGGUUUAAUGUGGUCAAGCACAUUAAUGAAUCGUGUCUUUUAGUCUUGAGACGGUUUGAUAUCCUCUUUGAAGCAAGUUUUCACUUCGUUAGGAGUGGCAUUCGUAACAUCGGGAAACUCUCUAGUUGUUGCUGGUAUAUGCUGGUCUUGCUCAAAACAUUUCUAUUUAGAAUAAAAUAUUAUGCCUGCGUUUUAUUUGGCUAUUAUUUGCAAAAAAUGGGAGUCUAUGGGCUGGCUUCUUGGCACAAUACUCACCACAUAAGAAACUCGUCUUUUUGGGCAAUUGAGGAAAGGUCCAGUGAUCCGUGGACUUGGAAGAUGAUGAUUCACUUAAGACCAUUGGGAGAAAGGUUGUUGAUGUUAGUCAAAUUAGACCUAAGACUACUCUCUCAAAUAAGAGAUCAAUUGCAGUAUUUUAGGGUAGAAAUCCACAUAGCUCUCGUGUUCACACAAAAGACUAACAAGUUUUGAAUUAAGCUAAACAAGUAAAGAUUGCAAAUUAAACAAGUAAUUAAAAUUGAGAUGUAAAUCAAAUGGGUAAAACGUCAGGUUUAGGGAUUUCUCAGGAAAUAAAUAAAUAGUAAAUCUAGCAAAUUAAUUAGGAUUAUUUAACGAACCGUUCUAGAACUGAAAACACUAAUAAAUAGCUAACCACCUCUCGAUGCGCUAACUAACUAAUCUAAUAUCAGUAAUUCCACCUUCUCGGAUACGAAUUCCUAGAUCUAGACUAGCAUUAAACACAAGUUUGAUAUGUUCAUAAAUCUUCCUAGACCACCUCUCGAUGAAUCUAGAAAUAUUUGCUCACCUAAGGUAGUUCCAGUAACAGGUGCCCUUUCGGAUCAAAUACCUAUUAUCCUAUGAUCAAGUUCUAGUUAGCUACUCUAGAACUAGCAUUAAGAACAACCUAGAUGAAGAACUCUAUAGAUUAAUCCUAACAGUUAAUCGAUUUACUAGUUCAUCUAAAUCCCUAAUGAGAAUCUCUAAACCUAACAGGGUGAUUACUCAGACAUGAUGAAUGAAACAAACAACAUGAUUGAAUAAAAUUGUAUUAAGAAAACAAAGAAGAGAAUAGAGUUAAGAAAGAUCUUCUCUGGAGGAGCUCUCUCCAAUUAUCUCCCAAAGGUUCAAGCUCCAAAUAAUACAACAGAAUAAUAGAAUGAGAGAUUGAGAGUAGACAUGUCAAUUAGGGCCAAAGCCCGCGGGCUAGCCCGGCCCAGCCCUGAAAAACAGCGGGCUCGGGCUUAAAAAUAUAUGUCCAGAAAAUAUCGGACCUUUCGGGCUAAGCCCGUUCGGGCUAAAAAGUGUUUUUGGCUUAGCCCGGCCGGGCUCAGACUACCCCAAAAAGCUCUUUAAAAAAUAUUUUGAUCUUUUUUUUGUUAAUAUUUUUCUUUAAUUGUAAGAUUUGUUGUAAAAAAAUUGCUUGAUAGAGUUGAAAACUCUAAACAUAGUUUUUUUGUUGUAUAUUACUAUAAAUCGAAAAAGCAAAUAUUAGCUCUACUACCUAAUUUGAAUUAUUUUGAUUUUAUAUUUUAUCUAGUAUAAGUUUAAACAAUUUAUUUGGAUUAUUUAUUUGAUUUUAACUCUCUUUUUUAAAAACUAAAUUAGCGUAAGUGAAUGAGUACACACAUCAUCUUUUCUCUUUUCCUUUCUUUUGUGCCAAAUGUGUAUUUUUUUUUUUACUAUUUGCUUCUCUUCUUCCUUAUAUAUAUGUGGGUUUAACGAGUCGACCAGGUCCAAUUUUUUCUGUCAUUAUUAAUGUAAAGUGGAAAAAGAAACCAAUAGUACGUCUUAUAGAGAUAAACCACGUGCAGAAAUCUUGCAUGCAUGAUAGAUGUUUGCUUAAAUUACUAGUGAUAAGUACUUGAUUAAUGUUAUCAUUACAUUAGUUCGUGCACAUGUAGAUAAUUUUGAAUUUUUACAAACUAGAAAUUAAAGUAAUACGUGGUUUGUUGGAUCGAACUCCAUAUUAAUUGAUUUCCCAAAGUUGGUUCAACUUAAUGCCCUAGGUAGAAAAAACCACGAGAUUUCAUUACAAAAGAAAUAUGGCAUCAUAUCUUCCAGUUUACAUGAUAAAUGUUUUCUUACAUUAUCAAACUUGAUUAAUGUCAUCAUUUAGUUCGUGCACAUGUUGAUUUUUUGAAUUUUUAAUUACAAGCUAGAAAGUAGCACGUUCGUGGCUUGUUGGAUCAAAACCCAUAUUAGUUGAUUUCCAAAACUUGGUUUCAUACACCUAGUUAGAAAAAAUCACACACAUCAUCAAUACACUUAUACGCUCAACCGAUAAUAUUGUAUUUUAGCUUUGGGGUAUUUCCCGAAUUAAAUCAGAUUUCGCAUCACAUACUUCUUCUUCACUCAAGGCAUUCGCUUGAAAUCUCCAAUCAUUUCUUCUUCACUCCACUUAGCGUCAUGAUAUAUGGUGAGACAUUGGGGUUUAUAAGAAAAACUCGUUUGUGUGUUUUAGGUUUAAACCUUUGCCACUUUUCAUGUCUGAUCACGAGAAUUUUCUUAAGUUGAAAAGAGGUUAGAGCUAGCGACGAGGAACGACUAGCAGGAGCAGCCAGAUGUCACUACUUUACUACGGAAGCUAAGUAUGAAAUAAUUAGAGAACAUGUUCAAUCUUGGAGUCUUGGACCAGUAAAGAAAUUUAAGUUAUGGUCUGAAUUUGAAAAAAAAUCCAAGCCCCUAAGGCGUCAGUUUCUAUACAUAUAUCACUUUAAGCAGGAAGACAAAGAUAUUAUAUCUCUUACAUUCUCAUGACUAUACUGUUUGUUUUAUUACAAGUAUUAUGAUUGCUAAACAAAUUAUGGAAUUCUAAAAUCACAAGGCAAAAGAAGAACAACCCAAUGAAUUUUGUAUGUGUAUAAAACUAUACCCACAUGAAGAAAAAUAUUUGUCUUGUUACUGAUGACAAGCACAUUCUUUUCCUUCUACUGAAGUAGCUAGGUUUGAUGAGUUUUUAUUACUCAUGUAUCGUGUUAGGCUCUACAAGAUCUCUCCGCUUGAUCAUUAAUUUUAAAAUCUUAUUGUUAAUAUAUAUAUUUAUCGUGCUUUAGGCCAUGAGGUGGAAUUUCUAAAGAAGUUUCUGGAAUUGGUGCCCUAGAUAAGAUUCAAAUGUUCCAAAAUACAUAAAAAUUAUGAGAUGAUUCAUUAUGUAGAACGAUAAAAAAAUUCGACUAAUAUGAAUCUGAACUCUAAAAGCAUCAAAGUAUGGUAGUUUUUUUUUAUCUGUGUGGUUACAUUUUGUUGUUUAUUUAUGUAUAAUUGUUUAUGGUCUUAGCUAAAUUCAAACAUCUCGCGAAAAGUGUCAAAAGGCGAAAAAUAAGGUUGGGCAAUAGUAUGAAAUUAUUCAAAUGAGUUAACCUUACAAAUUGUAGCUAAUCACGAAAAUCAAAUCAAACAAAAAGUCUUUUUUUUUUCUAUGUUUUGUCGACCUCAAACAAAAAGUAUACAAUCUUAUAAGAAACAAAUUAUUUUAUAAACGUUUAGAUUACUAUGAAGUAAACUUUUCGAUCAAAAAAAAAACAAACAAUAAUAAAAUAUAUAAUUUUCAAAACAAACAAGAAAAUAAAGAGAAAAUUAGAUUGGGUACCACUUUUUCCACAAAAGUUUUCACUUCUACCACAUUUGAAUCCCAAUUAUCAUUCAUACCACAUUGUGUUUGUAAAAUGACCAUUUUACCCUCCAACUAGUGAGAUAAGGAACUGCGAUUGAUGUGACCUUCCGAAAUUUCUGCCGUCCUUUUUCUCUCUCCUGGCGCAUUGAUAACCGUUUUCAUCCCUCUGGCUGGUAAAACAAAGUUGUCUCCGAGUAAAUCCAGAUCUUCUCUUCAGCUCUCUGGCAGAAUAAAAUAAAGAUCAAGUUGUCUCCGAGUUAAUCCAGAUAUCUGGCUGGUAAAACCACAUCAUCCGGCGAUGGAUAAUUAAGAGAUGUUGUCCCCGAGUAAAUCCAGAUCUCUGCAGGCUGGUAAAACCAUAUCAUCUGGGAUUUAUAAUAAUAGAGCAAGCUGAUGAAAUCGGAGACGAGAUCUAGACGCAACAGAGAAUUUUCAAUCGGGGACAAGAUCUGGAGACAUCCAUUUAAUGCAGCCGCUCCCCGUUUUUCAACCGGCGUCUUACUGUAGCUCCUUCCCCUGACACAUUCCUGACGCAUGCAGAAGGGUAAAAUCGUCCAACCUCUACCACACAAACACCAAAAGUGGUAUAGAUGCUAAAUCCAUUUGCAAUGUGGUACAUUUGCUAGAAUUUUCUAAAAUUGUGGCACAUUUGGCAAAAUUCCCAAAAAUAAAUUGACAAAAUUUGAAAUUAUUUCUUAAUUGUGUAGCUAAGUGUUGUUCACGUCAUACACCUAGCCAAUAUCGAUCUAAACCCCAAUAUAAUGUUUGGUUGAGAGAUUUGAAGGGAAAAGCUAUCCGCUGGAGUGAGAUUGGAAUUCUUUGAUAGAUAGUGGAGAUCAACCCUCUUCAUAUGCUCGUGUGUAUAUUUCACUUGCAUGUGUUCAUCAUCCGUUAUAUAUUCGCCUUAUGGAUCUCUCUCUCUCUCUCUCUCUCUCUCUCUCUGGUGGUUGAGAAACGUCUAGGUUGGACCAUCUUAUCAGCUGUGUUUAGAUCUUAUUUCGUUUUCUUGUUGUGUGUCAGAGUGGUGAAGGUCAAUUUUCUAAAUUUUGUGAUAAAGCUAGUGGGCAGUGGCAGAACAAAUGUUUCUAGAGCACCCGAGUGUUGGCAAGGUGGUUGACGGCUAGGAAUGGUAAGUCGUUAGCCGAACAUUGUUCCUAAUGGGAUUCAGAUUACCUCCAAGCGCAGAGUGAAGGAUUGCUCUUUAAUUUUGGGAGGUAGGUGAAUCCGUCUUAUUAAUAUAAAAUGCUCUCUCUGACUUGAGGAAAUAUGUAUGGAUAUAGGUCCAAAACCUUUUACUCAUUUAAAAAUAAAAUAAAAAGCAAAUUAUAAUAAAACUUCUAUAAAUUAAUAAUAUUGAGACCUUUGUUCUAAAUAUCGGAUGCCUAGCCGCCUAGGCGUCCCCCUAAUCGGUGAUCGGCAGCUCUCCGCUGCGAUUUUAACCAAUUCAGACUAUUUAAUCGCUAAUCCGAUUUUGCGGCCGCUUAAUGUGUUAAACGUUGAAAAUCGUUCAAGUCAACGAUUUUUACCAAAACAAUUAAACUAAAUUUGGGCCACAGAUAAAUAAAGCCCAUAUAAUAAACUAACUAGGAACUAAGUAGGGUUAUAUAUAAGAUAAAAUUUGGAUGGUUGAUUCUUUUCUUCUCGAUGUGGGACUUUUGUUUUUGUAAGUGUAGAGACUUUCAUCUUACACGUGGAUAAGUCAAAAGUAAUAAAGUUGAAUAUAUUUAUGUUGAGUAAUACUAAUUAAAUGCAGAUAUUAAUUGAUGCCAAUUUUCUUAACAUGUUAACGUUUUUUACAUUGACCACAUACAUGUCCUGAUGUCCACAUCUAAUUAUUUAUUUUGCUAAUAUUUCUUUUACCAGUUGAAUUUUUCUUUGAACAUAUAUAUCACACAAAGUAUUUAUUUUUAACAUUACAUUAAAUUAAAAAAAUGUAUAAUAUUUAUAGAUAUUUAUUUUUAAUUUAAUAUAAAUAAAAUAAUACAUAAAACUAAGAGAAAUUGUUAAAAAUGCCCCUUUUUCAAUACCCCUUUUCAAAAAUGCCCCCUUUGAGAGUCCAUUUUUAAGUUUGCCCUCUUUUAAUUUUUAAUGACUAUUUUACCCUUAUUUGAAACAAAAUUAGGUCCACAAAAUACAAAAUAUUUUUUGGCGGGAAAAGUGAUCCCGCAAUUUUCCCGCCAAAACACUUGUAAAAACCUUUAAAAAACCUUGUAAAAUUUUCCUGUAAAAAUUUUCCCGCCAAAAAAAUUUUUUUGCAGGAAAAGUGAUUCCGCAAUUUUUUUUGUGAAAUUUUUUUGGCGGGAAAAUUUUUGGCGGGAAAAAUUUACAAGGUAUUUUAAAGGUUUUACAGAGUAUUUACAAGUGUUUUGUAAGGUUUUACAAUGUAUUUUAAAAGGUUUUACAAGGUACUUAUAAGGUUUUAUAAGGUAUUUAUAACUUGUAAAACCUUAUAAAAAACUUGUAAAACCUUAUAACUUGUAAAAACCUUAUAAAAUAGCUUGUAAAAUCUUAUAAAUACCUUGUAAAUACGUUGUAAAACCUUUUAAAAUACAUUGUAAAACCUUAUAAAUACCUUGUAAAAAACCUUUAAAAUACCUUGUAAAUUUUUGGCGGGAAAAAUUUAACGCCAAAAAAGUUGCGGAAUCACUUUUCCCGCAAAAAAAAAUUUUUGGCGGGAAAAAGUUUUACGGGAAAAUUUUACAAGGUAUUUUAAAGGUUUUACAAGUUUUUACAAGUGUUUUGGCGGGAUCACUUUUCCCGCCAAAAAAUAUUUUGUAUUUUGUGGACCUAAUUUUGUUAUAUUUCCUUAUAUAUUUGUGAUAUCUUUUAUUAAAAGAAGGGUAAUUUAGUCAUUUUGUACAUAAAAAGGGGUAUUUUUAAAAAUGGACAGCCAAAUGGGGCAUUUUUGAAAAGGGGUAUUAAAAAAAGGGCAUUUUUGUGAGUCUCCCUUCAACUAAUCCCGAUUAAACCCCGUGUAAUCUCCGAUUUUUUAGCUAGACGCUAGGCCCACCUCCACCGCCCGACUAGCGCCUAGCGAUUUUUUAAACAAGGAUUGAGACUAUAAUAUUUUAUUAAUUUAUACAGAUAUUUGUUAUAAUUGUUUAAAUUAUAGAAAAAUAUGAGUUGAGAAAAUUUGAUAUAUAUAUAUAUAUAUAUAUAAUUAAUAAUUUAGAUGUUAUAAUUUUGUUGUAUUAGACUUACAAAUUUAAUAUUUCGAAAAAACUCAUAAGAAAGACAAUAAUUGUCUUUUAUAUACAAUAAAAAAGACUUAUACAAAAAAUUAAAUUUAUGAUCAAUGACCUUAACUAUCAUAUUUUAAAAGUCUAUAAGACUAUUAAAAUAAAAAUGAUGCAUACUAAUAAAUUAGAAACUUACAAAAAAGUAUGGCUUUUUAUUAUGAAGUUAUAAUUUUUAAAGCAAUACUACAAUAUGAUAGUUGAGGUUAUUGAUCAUAAGUUUGAAAACUCUACCUCUUUCUAACAAAUGACAGUAGAGUGUAAAAAAAUGUUAUUUCAUUACUUCAACGGCCUUUUUUGAAGAAAAAGGAAAAUAGAGACUGAAAUCGUAAAUUAUAUAUUAUUAAAAAAAAAAAAAAAAAAAAAGGAAGUGAAUGAGCGUAAAAGACUCAAAAGAGGUAACAAAUGGCGAGAGGGUAAAUGGUAAAAAAGCAAAAAACGGGGAAAGAGUUUGUUUACUUUUUUUAUUAAUAAAAAUAAUAAAAGCUUAUUUAUUUCCUCAAACAAAAAAAAAAAAUCCCAAAUAAUUGAAAAAAUAAAUUAAAUAAAAUCAGUUACAGAGGAGCACAUCAUCGUGUUCUUCUUCGACUCGGCGAAUCCAAAAAAAGACGCUUGCUUCAUCGCCGGCGUCUCUGUAUCACACUCCGGCGAGUCUUUCACGUUUCUUUUCGAGUACGUGAUUUUUAUCAUCGUCGUUAUUAUUUGUUUCCUUGCGAUCGAUGAAACUUAUAUAUAUAUAUAUAUAUUUGACCUAAAUUCAGAUUUGGUUAUUGAAUCCGUUGAUUGUAAAAUUGGAGAAAUCUUACUUACCGCUUAAAGAUUGUUUCUUUUUCGUUACCAAAAAAAAUUGCUCCUUUUUUUAUGAUUGUUUAGAGGAAUGCAAAACUAUGGUGAUUGAUUAAAUCGUGUGACAAUCGAAAAGUUGAGGACUUGCAAGGAUUCGAGAGAGAGUCUAAAAUGGAGCACCAAGAAGUUGCUGAUUCGAAAACGGAUCCUCUUUGCAUUUCUCAAUUGAAAAUAUCUUCUUCUCUCGACCCAUUGCCACAGGCGAACAUGACAGCGGAUUUAUUGAAGAGUCAUAGACAUUCACCUAUAAAAGGUAUCUCUUUUUUACUUCCUCUGGAUGAUAUUGGUUAACUUGUGUUAUACGUGUGUUUAGAGAACUUUUCUUUCUAUGCAGUGCAAGGGAGUGAAGAAACUUGGGGAGUAGAAGAUGAUGAUGACCUCACUGACCCUAAUUUUGAUACCGUUGAGGUAUUCAUCACUUUAUAUGUCUCUGUUUGAUGUUCAACAUUUUAUAUAUACAAGAGAUCUGAAUUGAGAUUUAACUUCUUUUUCCAUCAGGGCAAUGGACAUUCAGAUCCAACUAGCUGCUUCGAUGCUGAUUUAAGUGAGUACAAAAAGAAGGCCACGGUAAUUGUGGAGGAAUACUUUGGCACCAAUGAUGUUGUCUCAGUUGCUAAUGAACUAAAGGAGCUUGGAAUGCCUGAGUACCGUUAUUAUUUUGUCAAGAAAUUAGUCUCCAUGGCUAUGGAUAGACAUGACAAAGAGAAAGAAAUGGCUGCUUUUCUGCUGUCUACGCUUUAUGCCGACGUCAUUGAUCCCCCGGAAGUUUACAGAGGUUUUAACAAACUGGUGGCUUCUGCUGAUGAUUUAUCUGUAGAUAUUCCCGAUGCAGUUGAUGUUCUUGCUGUCUUUGUGGCUCGGGCAAUUGUUGACGACAUUCUUCCACCUGCGUUUCUGAAGAAACAAAUGAAAUUGCUACCAGAUAACUCCAAAGGUGUUGAGGUUUUGAGAAAGGCCGAGAAGAGCUAUCUAGCCACUCCGCUUCAUGCUGAAGUUGUUGAGAAGAGAUGGGGAGGGACUGAUAAUUGGACUGCUGAGGAUGUGAAAGCAAGAAUAAACGACUUGUUGAAAGAGUAUGUCAUGAGUGGAGACAAAGAAGAAGCUUUUAGAUGCAUCAAAGGAUUGAAAGUUCCUUUCUUUCACCAUGAGAUUGUCAAACGAGCACUGAUUAUGGCAAUGGAAAGGCGAAAAGCUGAAGUCAGGCUGCUAGAUCUGUUAAAAGAAACGAUUGAGGUUGGUCUCAUAAACUCCACUCAAGUAACAAAAGGGUUUAGCAGAAUCAUUGAUUCAAUUGAAGAUUUGUCUCUUGACAUACCAGAUGCACGCCGUAUAUUACAGUCUUUCAUCUCUAAAGCGGCUUCUGAAGGAUGGUUAUGUGCUUCUUCUCUGAAAUCACUCUCCGCUGAUGCAGGAGAAAAGUUACUUGAAAACUCCAGCGCCAAUGUUUUUAAAGACAAGGCGAAGUCGAUCAUCCGAGAGUAUUUCCUUUCAGGUGACACUUCAGAGGUCGUACAUUGUCUAGACACCGAAUUGAAUGCAUCUUCGAGUCAGCUACGCGCAAUCUUUGUCAAAUAUCUGAUAACUCUAGCAAUGGACAGGAAGAAAAGAGAGAAGGAGAUGGCUUGUGUGCUCGUCUCUACUCUUGGUUUCCCUCCAAAAGAUGUCAGAAACGCAUUCUUGAUGCUCAUAGAAUCUGCAGACGACACGGCUUUGGACAACCCAGUGGUUGUUGAAGACCUUGCCAUGUUCUUAGCCAGAGCUGUGGUUGACGAGGUGUUAGCUCCACGGGAUUUGGAAGAAGUGUUAAACCAGACUCCCGAGGCAGGCUCAAGUGUGGGAGAGAAAGUGAUUCAAAUGGCGAAAACAUUGCUGAAAGCACGUCUUUCUGGUGAAAGGAUCUUACGUUGCUGGGGAGGAGGAGGAAUUGAGACAAACUCGCCAGGAUCCACAGUGAAGGAAGUGAAAGAGAAGAUCCAGAUUCUUCUAGAAGAGUAUGUCUCUGGUGGAGACCUCAGAGAAGCUAGUAGGUGCGUGAAGGAACUGGGAAUGCCGUUUUUUCACCACGAAGUAGUGAAGAAGUCAGUAGUGAGGAUCAUAGAGGAGAAGGAGAACGAGGAACGGUUAUGGAAGCUACUAAAAGUGUGUUUUGAUUCAGGACUAGUGACGAUAUAUCAGAUGACUAAAGGGUUUAAAAGAGUUGAUGAAUCGCUUGAAGAUCUGUCUUUGGAUGUCCCUGAUGCUGCGAAAAAGUUUUCAAGUUGCGUGGAAAGAGGCAAGCUUGAAGGGUUCUUAGACGAAUCAUUCGCUUCUGAGGAAUCACAAAGUAAGAAACAGAACGGCUCGUCUUCUUCGUCUGGAUGAUAACAUUUGAGCACCAAACCUCAAACCUCGAGACGUUGGUUUCACGCAAAAUCACCUUUUGAAAUUCUUUUUUUUUUUUAUAAACAAACUAAAAAAGUUUUGGUGACGUUUCUUACAGAACAAACUAUCUUAUCUUAGUGACGUUUUGUUAUAGCACAUUACUUUAUGACUUGUUUCUUUUUUUGUUCCUUUGUCAAUGAUCACAUUUGUUUUGCUAAUAUUUUUCUUCUAGUGUUUAACAAUAAAUACUUUUUUCUGUUUUAUUCUAUGAUAUUAUCCUCUCUUAAAAGCUGGACAAACCCCACGGCCACGAGUCUUCCAGCUAAGACUUUUUUUAGUUCCCAAAAGAUCAUUGAUCGAAAUUGGCGCUCCUUUUUAUUUUAUCUUCUCUGUUUUUACAAAUCCGAAGAACAGAGUUCGUUGCUCCUUUUGUUUUCUUUAAAACAAAGUCAAGAUUCAGAUACAUACUCUCUGAUCAUGUCGAUACGAAGACGAACUUUACUCAAAGUUAUCAUUCUUGGAGACAGCGGGUUAGCUUAAAUUUUUCGCUUUUUUUUUUCUACCUAACUUUUUUUUUUAUGUUUGAUCUUAUAAUCAUUCUCUUGUUUUUUUUUUUUUUCUGGUACAAAUAAUAUCUCAGGGUUGGCAAAACAUCGUUGAUGAAUCAGUAUCCUAACCAAAUCUUUUCUUUGGUUUUUCUUCUUUUCGUAAUUUCGAUUUUUGUAGCUGCCGGUGAAAAAAAAAAAAACUUAGCUGUUCUUUUGUGUGUGUAGAUAUGUGAAUAACAAGUUUAGUCAGCAGUACAAAGCUACGAUCGGAGCUGAUUUUGUAACUAAGGAGCUUCAAAUUGAUGACAGGCUUGUCACAUUGCAAGUGAGGUUUUUUGUUUUUGUUGUCAGUUUUUUUUCGAGUUUAUAAUGAAUUCUAACUAACUCCUUUGUGCUUUUUUUUUUUUUCUUUUUUUCUUAUAUAUAUAUAGAUAUGGGACACUGCUGGGCAAGAAAGGUUUCAAAGUCUUGGUGUUGCUUUCUAUAGAGGUGCAGAUUGUUGUGUUCUUGUCUAUGAUGUCAAUUACUUGAAGUCGUUUGAUUCUCUCGACAAUUGGCACGCCGAGUUUCUUAAACGGGUUCUUUUUUUUUUUUGCUUUCUCCAUCACAUUUUCUCUUUUCCAAAGAUUUCUUUCUUUUAGUGACUGAUAUAAUCGUUUUUGUGGAAUAUUGGCCAGGCUAGUCCUCGUGAUCCAAUGGCAUUCCCUUUUAUACUUCUUGGUAAUAAGGUUGAUGUUGAUGGAGGAAAUAGCCGAGUGGUAAGUUCUUAUUAGUCUUAAGCCUUUUAUCUGAAUGUAUGUGAAUUUUGAAUACUCCAUUUGUUUCAUCAAGAAGAUACAAGUCCUUGUUUGCUAUAUUCCUUUCUUUGUGUUUAGGUAUCUGAGAAGAAAGCUAGAGAAUGGUGUGCUGAAAAAGGAAACAUUGUCUAUUUCGAAACAUCGGCUAAAGAGAAUUAUAAUGUCGAUGACUCUUUCUUGUGCAUCACAAAACUUGCCCUUGCCAAUGAACGCGACCAAGAUAUGUAAGUGUACUUAAACCUCUUUCUUUUGGUGAUCCUCUCACUUUGUGGAUCUCCUAAACUAGAGCUGAAAAACCCGAAUCUCUCAAUUUAUAAUCUUUUUUUUUGGUUACAACUCAGAUAUUUCCAAGCAAUUCCAGAGACUGGUUCGGAGUCUGAACAAAGAGGAGGUUGUGCUUGCUGAAGAAACAUUUUUUUCUUACUCUCUUGAUUUAUGCAUUACUUGUUGUGUGUGUGUGUGUCUAAAAUCUUGACCAAAAACUUGUAUGAUUUUGGUAUUUGUUUGCAACAGUUCAAGUGUAUACAUGUAAUGGUACUCUUUAAUCUGUCUUCUUUAUGUAAUGGGAACCAUGUGAUGAAGAGUCCGGUUCAAUCGCACUAAACCGAAUCCGUUUCGGUUUGAAAUAUCAGUUAGCAAUUUGGCGGUGACGUGGCGCAUCCUUCCCCACUUGUUUCGCUCCUUGUUGAAUCUAUCGAAUCGUCGUCAAUGUCAUCAACGCUUUUCGAUUUCGCUUCCUCUCGUCUCUCUCUGUGGUGUUAACAAUGGCGACGAAUAGUUUAGUAACCGGACUAAAAGUGACUUUACCGGUUAUGUUCUGUGUGAUGCUCGCGACUCUUGUCUACACCAUUAUCACCGAUGGCCUUCCUUUACCUGAUCGUCAUGAUGUCUUCACACCGUAAAACCCAUUUCUCUCUUUCUUCAUUUUCACACAGAGAUACACAGAUAUGUGUGUAUUCAUGUUCGUUUCGUUACGCUCUUUUUUCAGAUGGUUCGUUACGACAAUUCUGGAUUUCUACAUUAAUAUUGUACCUAUAGCGGUAUGUUUAAAUUGAUAUAUAUUCUUCCAGAUUCUUGAUGAACCUUAAAGUUUUAAUCUUUGACUUGUUUAUCAUCUGAAUUCAGGUUUGGAUUGUGUAUAAGGAGUCUACAUGGUCUGGUUCAAUACUUUGGACCAUUUUGCUCUUAAUUUUUGGCAGGUAUCAUCUUUUUUCUUGAACCAUUUCAUAGACGACAUUAUUAUGAAUUUGUUGUAAUUUUUUUUUGUCUUUUUUUUGGUUUUAAGCCUCACUACAUGUGUGUAUGUGUUUCUGCAACUUCUCAAACUGACAAAUCAAGAAGCUUCAGAAGAUCCUAUGUACUAUUUGUUACUUCGAGAUUCAAUCAAGUAUGUGUUUUUCAUUUGUUUUGACUUGUUUUCUCUGUUUUUAGUUCAGCUUCAUUAUAAUAUCUCAUUAAUCAUUGAUAUUAGUUUGAUUAGUGGCAAUAAUGAUCCAUGAGAGAAUCAUAAUCUGCUGUAUAGUUUGUGGAAUUCUAGACCAAUUUGAUUAAUGACGUAAAUCUGUUCUUGUUAGGGAUGGAGUUGGUCUGAGAGACAAGAAUUCACUUGUUGUCACUGCAAGAUUUGUGUUUGGUGCCUUAGGAUGUGUGAUGCUAGGAGCUUUGAUCUACACUUGCUUCACUUAUGGUUCUCCUUUCCACAUGGAGCUCCUAUACCCGUGAGUUUAAAUUUCUUUCUACAUUUUUUAUGUGUUUGAAUCAUCUGUCUCUUGCUUUGCUUUAUUCAUUGGCUAAAUCUUCCCAACAGGUGGAUGGUGGUUUUAUUGGUUAACUUCUACAUUAAUGUUGCAGUCUUAUCAGUAAGUCCCAAAUCUUGAACACUAGAUUAGUAAAAGCCUUUUAAAGUUAUAUAAGCUCUGCAAUAACUGGGGUUGUUACAUAUUUUGAGUCAUUUACUUGUUUAUUUCAGGUUUGGGUUGUCUAUAAAGAAUCUAGUUGGAUCGUUGGAAUUCUCUGGGUUGCUCUAUUGAUAGGUCUUGGCAGGUACAAUUCUGUCAAAGUCUUUAUCUCUUUGAUGGACAAGGACAUUUUUCCAUUCAUGUUUUGUUUAAUCUUUUUCAGCGUUGGCACGAGCGUAGCCAUUGUCGUGCAGCUAUUCCGUCUAUCUCCUCUCGACCCGCUCUACCUCGUUCUGGUGAACAACAGCAAUCGGUAAGCUUGGAAUAUGGAAACAAAAAAAAUCUUUAUCUAAGAAAGAUUGAUGAUUUUAGAUACACAAAGCAGCUUUUGAAACAUAAGUCUUAUAAUAUUUUUUUUUUCACAUUUUAAUCUUUGGUUGGAGGAAGCAAAGUUAAAAGUAAAGGCUAAGUUAGUGAACUCUCUCAUGGGUCAUGGCAGGGCUGGAGAUAUGUAUGAGCGCACUCAUUCUGCGGUUUUGCGUAUGUGAAGCUUUGUGAUUUCAUUUUUACUUUUCACCACAAAAGUUCAAAGAAUUUAUUAUCUACUUGACUACAUUACAAGUUUGUAUGUUCCAUAGUUUUCUUCUGUAUAUAAUUUCUCUUAUGUGAGAAAACAAUUACUUAUGUAAUCAACUUUUUUUUGGGUCAUGACUUGAAAACACACAUGGAUUGAGACUUUUUGGGCCAUUUGAUGACAUAUUUUAGUUUUGUCUAAAAAAAGAAUUGAUCUACCUACAUUGGAUGCCACAAUUACAAUCUUCAAAAAUUAUUAUUUUUUUUUUUGAAUAAAAUGUAAAAUUUAUUCGAAAAAAAAACAUUUUUACAUAAAGUGCAACAAUUGAUUAAAAGUUUUGUAUACAUCUCAUAAGGCUUCUUUUCUUUUAUGCUUAUCUUGGAGUAAACCAAACUUCCAUACAUCUAUUAUAUAUUCUAUCUUCUUGUUCAAGUAUCGAGGAGAUCCGAUUUCGAACAUGUUUGUCGAGAUUACGAAGCAGUUGCGCUGGUGAUUCCCCAAUCUUCAAAAACCAACGGAUGUGUUUUACAAACUACUGUAUCAUUUUGUUACUCCAUCAUUUUUAACAUACCAAUCAUAAUCAUUUUUCUAUUUUAAUUAAAAACAUUACAUGACAGUCAUGAUAUACAAUGAAAAUAGAGAAUCUUUAUAUGUCAAAAACAUAGUAAACUCUCGUUUAGUCAAAAUCUUUGAAGAACUCAAUAUAAUGUAUUGCAAUCCGAUCCAUAUGAUCCGGUCAAAGAAUCCAAAAUAGUUUAAUUAUCCUAUUUAUAGUAAUGUAGAUGGAUUUUAGUAGCUAUGACAAAAUCAAGAGUCGCAAUCUCGACUCCUAAAAAUACAUGGAUGCCCAUUUUUUAAUCCAAUCUAGACUAAUAAAAUCUUGAAUCCAUUAUGUGGAUGGAUAUUUAAAAGGAGUUUGUAAUCUAGAGAAAUAAAAGGAUCAUGAUUUUUAAUAGGUUAUUUCGUAGUAUUAUUAAACCUAUUUACAUCAUAAACACUAGCUGAUUUAAUCUAAACUAAACUAAAAAUCACCAAUUCAUUUAUCAUAAUCCAAUAUCUGGUCAAAAGAGUUUAUAAAUAGUUUCAUGUUUUUGUUCAACGGCCUGUCCACCCUGGAAACGGCUUAGCCGGAGGUAGGGUCCAGCGGCUAUAAAUAGUAAUGUAGAUUGAUAUCUUAGCUAUGACCAAAUCAAUAGUCGCAAGUUCUGCUCCCAAAAAUUAGGUGUUCAUCUUUUACUCCAAUCAAAAACAUAAAAAUCACAAUCACGAUCCUAAAUAAAUGUUAAAUGAAUUUAUUGGAUUUUAUUUAUAAAUUAUAAUCAGCUCGUAAAACCUCUCAUUGGUUACAUUAUUAGAAAAUAAUUAGGAUUUGUGUGCGUAAUAGCCUUAAAAAAGCGUGUGUUUUUUGAUGAAUCAAUAAAUUUAAUGUUGCUUUCGGUAUACUAAAAAAAAAAAAAAUUAGUACAUUUUUGAUGUGGGGAACUAAAAUAAAAUCUCUGUAAAAAACAUAAGCGAUAAUAAAAGUAAACAUAACUUAAAACUGCGACCAGUUCUUAUUAUCAAAGAUGCAUGAAAUACAUGCUUUUUGGGUAAUUAUUAUCAAAUAAUUACUUAUGUAAUCAACUUUUUGGGUCAUGACUUUAAAAACUUGUGGAAUGAGACUUUUUGGGCUAUUUGAUGACAUAAUUUAGUUUUGUCUAAAAAAAGAACUGAUGUACCUAGAUUGGAUGCACAAUUACAAUCUUCAUAAAUCAACGGAUGUGUUUUACACACUACUGUAUUAUUUUGUUACUCCAUCAUUUAACAUACCAAUCAUCAUCAUUUUUAUAUUUAAAUUAAAAAAUUACAUGCUAGUAAUAAUGAUAUACAAUGAAAAUAGAGAAUUUUUAUAUAUAAAAAACAUAGUAAAUUCUCGUUUAGUCAAGAUCUUUGAAGAACUCAAUAUGGUGUGUUGUAAUCCGCUCCAUAUGAUCCGGCCAAAGAAUCCAAAAUAGUUUCAUAUCGCUGUUUAUUAUAGUAAUGUAGAUAGAUUUUAGUAGCUAUGACAAAAUCAAGAGUCGCAAACUCGCAAUCUCGACUCCUAAAAAUACAUAGAUGCCCAUUUUUUACGCCAAUCUAGACUAAUAAAAAUCUUGAAUUCAUAUAUGUGUACGGAUAUUUAAAAGGAGUUUGUAAUCUAGAGAAAGAAAAAGAUUCCAUUAUCCAUGAUUUUUAACAGGUUAUUUCGUAGUAUUAUUAAACUAUCUACAUCAUAAACAAUAAUUGAUUUAAUCUAAAGUAAACUAGAAAUCACCAAUUUAUUUAUCAUAAUCCAAAAUCUGGUCUUUUUUUUCUUUUUCAUCAAUCCAAUAUCUGGUCAAAAGAGUUUAAAAAUAGUUUCAUGUUUCUAUAAAUAGCAAUGUAGAUUGAUAGCCAUGACCAAAUCAAUAGUCUCAAGUUCUGCUCCCAAAAAUUAGGUGUUCGUCUUUUACUCCAAUCAAAAACAUAAAAAUCACAAUCCUAAAUAAAUGUUAAAUGAAUUUAUUGGAUUUUAUUUAUAAAUUAUAAUCAGCUCGUAAGACCUCUAAUUGAUUAUAUUAUUAGAAAAUAAUUAGGAUUUGUGUGCCUAGUAGCCUUGAAAAGCAUGUAUUUCUUAUGAAUCAAUAAAUUUAAUGUUGCUUUCGGUAUAUAAAAAAAAACACAAUUAGUACAUUUUUGAUGUGUGGAACUAAAAUUAAAUCUCUGUAAAAAACAUAAGCGAAAAUAAAGGUAAACAUAAUUCAAAACUGCGACCAGUUCUUAUUAUCAAAGAUGCAUAAAACACACGAAUUAGUAGUUAUUAAUAGUAAAAAUCAAGUGACAUGUGUGUUUUAUAUUAAAUCGUUAAUUGUUCGGAUUUAUAGGCUUGCUGGUUAUGUAUAAAUAUGCAUACACACUCUUCACACUAAUUCAAUUUUAUCCCUCUUCACUCCUCUCGGUAAUUGGAGGAAACUAAAAAAGGAAAAAAAAAUCUAAAUAAGAAUAAAAUUCCUAAAAAAUAAAUAAAAUCAAAAAUUUUGAAGAAACAAAUCCUCGAGUUAUGGUGUUUACAUAAAAUCUCUUUCUCACUUAAAACCCUUAGAGAAACAAAUCAUCGAAUCUUUGUUUUUUUAGAAUCAGUGAUUUUGUUUCCUUUCACGAGACGAAAUAACAAAUCGUCUUGUAAAAAGUAAACUCAUAAUCAUGGCGGCGGCGGUUGCGACGGGUGUCGCACCGGCAACAAUGGUUGAUCAAAUUCCGAGUCCGACGGCUCAGACUUCGGUUCAGGUUCCGGUUUCGAUACCUGCUCCAUCUCCGGCAGCGGUUGCCGAUCAAACACAUCCCAACUCGUCGCUCUAUGCGGGAGAUUUGGACCCAAAAGUGACUGAAGCGCAUCUGUUCGAUUUGUUCAAGCAUGUCGCUAAUGUUGUUUCGGUAAGAGUUUGUCGUGACCAGAAUCGUCGAUCCUUGGGAUAUGCCUACAUCAAUUUCAGUAACCCUAAUGAUGGUAAGUACAAUUCUAUUUUGCUUGAAUUGCAAGUUAGGGUUCAUAUCUUGAAAACGUAAAUAUAUUAUCGUGAAUUCAUAACAAUAAAGAGAAACACUAUGAUUUGCUUUGUUUCAGUCUCGUUUUUUUUAUUAGUCCUGGUAAUUAAUUAUGAUAAGUAUCAUGUUUUUGUGAAUCAUCUUAGAUGCUAUUAUUUGUCUAGAAAUUAACAUAUACAAUGUUUCUGCUACAUUGAUAUAUAUCGAUUGAAUAUCGAAGCUACAAUAUUUAUAGAAUUAUGCAUCAGUUCAAAACGUGAUUAAUCAAAACGUGAUUAAUUUGUUUGAAAAUUCUCUCUUCCAAUACCCAUCACAUCGUAGAAACUAUACAUAUUUGUGCAUUUAUAAAUUUCAUAGAUGAUCUUAUUUGCUUAUCGAUUUAUAUAGAUAUGUUUAACGUGAUUUAUAUUUUUGCAGCUUACCGAGCAAUGGAGGCUUUGAACUACACUCCCCUCUUUGAAAGGCCCAUUCGGAUCAUGCUCUCGAACCGUGAUCCGAGCACACGAUUGAGCGGCAAAGGAAACAUUUUCAUCAAAAACCUUGAUGCUUCAAUCGACAACAAGGCAUUGUUCGAGACGUUUUCAAGUUUUGGAACCAUCCUCUCAUGCAAAGUUGCAAUGGACGUGACUGGCCGGUCCAAGGGGUAUGGAUUUGUCCAGUUUGAGAAGGAGGAAUCGGCUCAAGCUGCAAUUGACAAGCUAAACGGGAUGCUAAUGAACGACAAGCAAGUCUUUGUGGGACACUUCAUCAGACGUCAAGAACGUGCUCGUGAUGAAAACACCCCUACACCGCGUUUCACUAAUGUGUACGUCAAGAAUCUCCCCAAGGAGAUUGGUGAGGACGAGCUACGAAAAACGUUUGGUAAAUUUGGAGUGAUAUCGAGCGCGGUUGUAAUGAGGGACCAGAGCGGGAACUCGAGGUGUUUUGGGUUUGUGAACUUUGAGUGUACUGAAGCAGCGGCUUCCGCGGUUGAGAAGAUGAAUGGAAUUAGCUUAGGGGAUGAUGUGUUGUACGUUGGGAGGGCUCAGAAGAAGUCUGAGAGAGAAGAAGAGUUAAGAAGGAAGUUUGAGCAGGAGAGGAUAAACCGGUUUGAGAAAUCUCAAGGAGCGAAUCUGUAUUUGAAGAAUCUUGAUGAUAGCGUCGAUGAUGAGAAACUCAAGGAGAUGUUCUCUGAAUAUGGAAAUGUAACAUCUUCCAAGGUAAUAAUAAAAAGUCAUACAUACAUUAAUAAAUAUAGGUUGUUGAUGGUUUUCCUUGACAUAAUCCUUUAACUAAAUGUAGGUUAUGCUUAAUCCACAAGGAUUGAGCAGAGGAUUUGGUUUUGUUGCUUAUUCUAAUCCUGAAGAAGCUUUAAGAGCAGUGAGUUUCUAAAAUUGUAAUAUAUUUUUCUGUUAUCGUUCGUCUCUUUUGAUAUAUGAGAGAUUAUUAUAUAUGACAAUGCAGCUGAGUGAAAUGAAUGGGAAGAUGAUAGGAAAGAAACCACUAUACAUAGCUCUUGCGCAGCGCAAAGAAGAUAGACGAGCACACUUACAAGUUUGUUAAAUCUCUUUACAUAUUAAAAAAAAAAUGGGUUUGUUAUAGUUGUGUUGUGACUAAGUAUAUACGUUUGCUAUUUUCAGGCGCUAUUUUCACAGAUAAGAGCACCAGGGCCAAUGUCGGGGUUCCAUCACCCGCCAGGUGGACCAAUGUCGGGUCCACCCCAGCACAUGUACGUAGGCCAGAACGGAGCAAGUCUGGUCCCGUCCCAGCCCAUUGGAUAUGGAUUCCAGCCUCAGUUCAUGCCCGGGAUGCGUCCAGGUUCUGGCCCGGGCAACUUCGUCAUGCCUUAUCCUCUUCAGAGACAACCUCAAACCGGUCCUCGUAUGGGAUUCAGGCGUGGUGCUACUAACAUGCAACACCACAUCCAACAACAACAAGUAUGUUAACUAAACUGAGUUUGUUUAAUAGUUUUCAACAAUCAUGAAACUGAAUUGGAUUGGAUUGACAGCUUAUGAACCGUAACCCGACCCCGGGAAUGAGAUAUAUGAACGGUGCGGGUAACGGGAGGAACGGAAUGGAUUCGAGUGUUCCGCAAGGAAUCUUGCCUCCAAUCAUGCCUUUGCCAAUAGAUGCUUCUUCAAUUUCUCACCAGAAAGCUCCUCUCCUUCCAAUAUCUAAGCUCACUUCUUCUUUAGCUUCUGCUAGUCCAGCUGAUCGCACUCGGGUUUGUCAUUUUUCUUUCCAUCUCAGCUAAACAAUUGUUUAUUUGCGUUUGCUUUUACAUUUGGUGUAUAUCUUUUGAAUAAUAAACCCAUAACUUUAAACCUCUUAUAAACAUGUUCUGUCAAUUGUUAAUGCAAAAACCAAACGCAAAGACAUCUGGACUUUUUUUUUUUUUUUUUUUUUUUGGGCAAAACAUCUGGACUUUAAUUUACAAAAUAUUUUUCGAAAAGCUGAAAAUGUUUUUGGUGAAUUUUGUUUCUUAACAUUAAAUGUUUGAAAGAAUUAUGGUCUUAUAAUAAUUAAAUAUAAGUUAAAAUCACAUAAAUAGUUAAUAAAGAUUGGCAUAUUUAUUUAUUUUAGUUUUGUUUUUUUGUGUACCUAGUGGCAUAUUUAUUUGUUUACUGAUUUUUAUUAAAACUAAUUGGUUGGGUACAGAUGCUUGGAGAGCAACUUUACCCACUUGUGGAAAGGCACGAACCACUUCACGUGGCUAAAGUCACAGGAAUGUUGUUGGAGAUGGAUCAAGCCGAGAUCCUGCACUUGAUGGAGUCACCAGAGGCACUCAAGUCUAAAGUAUCUGAGGCUUUGGAUGUUCUCAGGCUAUCUGUUGAUCCACCUGAUCAUGAGCUUGGUUUCUCUACCACCUGAACUUUGUUUUUUUCUAGUUUUGAUUUGAACUCCUUUUUUUUUUUUUUUUUUUUUGGUUUUAAGUCUUUCUUUACUCUUUAGCAGUUUUUUUAACUUAGUUUAUGGUUUUUGUGUUUUUCACUUAGUUUAUUGUGUUUAUUUCUGGACGAUGAUGAUUUCUUAAUAAUCUGCGAUUAGCUGAUUAUUAGUCUUUUUCAGAAAUCUGAAUAGACUUUUUCUUCUACAUUGUUGGAAUUCCUAACUGUACUCUAUACCUCAAUUUCCAACCUCCAAAAUAUUCUGCCUGAAAAUUAUAUAUAUGUUAUAAUACGGAAAAUCCCAAAUUGAUCCUUAAACAAAAAAAUUACAUUGUCGGACAAAUCAACAUGAUCAUUAGGCAUGUCAAUCGGGCUAGUCCGGCCCGGCCCGGCCCGGCCCGAAGCCCGCAAAACCCGUACAUAUUUGAGUCCGGCCCGGUCCGUAAAAAUUUCGAACCUAUAUUUUAAAGCCCGGCCCGGCCCUAACAGGGCUACAGAGCUUUUUUGGGCUUUUCUUCCGACAAAAAAAAACAAACUUAUAAUUUCUAAUAUCUCUUAAAAAAUCUAUAUAUGAAACUAGUCAAUCAAAAUUUAAAUAACCACUAACGCUAAUUUAGUUUUUUAAAAAAAGAAUUAAAAUCAAGUAAAUAAUCCAAAUAAAUUGUUUAAACUUAUACUAAAUAAAAUAUAAAAUCAAAAUAAUUCAAAUUAGGUAGUAGAGCUAAUAUUUGCUUUUUCGAUUUAUAGUAAUACACAACAAAAAAAAACUAAGUUCAUGGUUUUCAACUCUAUCAAAAAAAUUUUUACAACAAAUCUUACAAUUAAACGAAAUUAACAAAAAAGGAUCAAAAUAUUUUUUAAAGGUCUUUUCGAGCUAGCCCGAACCCGGCCGGGCUAAGCCCAAAAAACCCUUUAGCCCGAAAGACCCGUUUUUUUUUUACAUAUAUUUUGAAGUCCGAACCCGCUGUUUUUCAGGGCUGGACCGGACUAGCCCGCGGGCUUUGGCCCUAAUUGACAUGUCUAAUGAUCAUGAUAUCCAUGAGUGAGGAUUUUGCUAGUGUCUUAGCAUGACAUCAACUUUCUCUCACAUGUGUGGGUGGUAUGGCCAGGACGGCGGCGUAGUGAUUUGUGAUAGAGUUGUCGGUGCAAGACCACCCUGGUUAAGUCCACGUAGUGCUGUUAUUGACGAGAAAAGAAAUAUAUGACUUAUUUUCUUCUUUGAGACAUGAAUUUUCAGGUCCUAUAUGUAUCUAUUGAAAGAAAACAAAAAAACUCAACUGCAUUUCCCAAUCCCCAAAUAUCCAACUCUACUUGAAAUUUAAGUUGUUCGGUAGUCAUGGUCAUUGGUCAGCAGCAUGGGACAAUCCUUCUAUUAUGGUAGGAGUACAGUACAAGCCUUCUAUUAUGAAAUUAUUCGAAUGUGUCAUACUCAAACUUUGUGGUUUGUAUUCAAUAUGUAGUUGAUAUCAAUUAUAUGCACACAAGACUUCUUUUUUUUUUUUCUUUUUUUUUUGAGGGGUUGAAUAUAAGAGACUCUUUAUGUUUUUAUAAUUGGAAGCAAGCAAUUCAAUGAUUGUAUUUCAUAAUAAAUGUUUGAUAUGACGUUAAUUUGAAUGGUUUAUGUUGAUCGAAUAUACUUUCAGUCACAACAAGAAUCUAAAUACAAUUACUAAACUAUAUAUCAGCUGAGUUCUGACCAUACUUUAUAAGAAGAUUUAAAAAAAUGAUUGAAUAAAGAAGAGAGUGAGUGGGGUUGAUACGUGUCACCGUCCACAAUGUGUCUGACUCUGACCCUUCUCAUUGGAGCUAUACUAGCCGACCCUUUGCCUCAUCAUUUGUUGACUUCACUCACCUUUUGCAUAUUUUUUAAAUGAACUUGCUAAUGUUUCCAUUCAUUGUUCGAUUCUAGAUUGUUCCAUUCACUUUCUUUUUUCUCUUUGACGUAAUUAAGAAUAUACUAACAUAGUAAAUAUUUGACAAAAUUUUAGGAUUUAGGUUUUUACAUCUAUCUUGAGUUGAGAUAAAAAUGGAAUUAUGAUAGGUUAGGGAUUAUUUUAUGUAAAUACCACAUCUAAACUAUGACGGAUGACACACUAAACCAACAUAUCUUAUUUACUAAAUUUAGAUAUGAUCGUUAAAGAUUUUUAAAUUUAAAGUAUAAUAUAAUGAAUAAAUCAAAUUUUGAGCUUAAUUUGGUUUGAGGAUUUUCUAAAUCCCGCGUUGCAAAGAUAUUCGAUUAUAUUUUUUGUCUAUAAAUUGAUUGAUGUCACGGCUCUUUUGUCAAAAAAGUAUAUUGUAUAAUGUCAAAAAAAAAAAAGGUAUAUAAAUUUAUAAUAGAGUAAUACUUGAAGAAAAAUAAUAGCAUUUUCAAAGGUUGUAUUGACAAUGAAAGGGGUAAUGAAUAUCUCGCUUGCUAAACCACAAAAGAAUCAAUUCAUUGGACUAUAACUUAAACAUAUAAUAUAUCUACCGAAAUGUCUACAAUUUGUGAAUGCGACUUUUCAAAAAGUUUUAGAAUUUUAUAAAAUUUUCUCCACUAUAGUAUUACUUUAAUAAAAGAUUGCUAAUAAAAUGAUAUCUUAAUUCACAACAAAAAAGUAGGCAAAGUAGCUUUAUUAGAAAACUAAAUGGUUUUUUUUUUUUUGUUAAUGGUAAAUCAUAAACCUAAAUUUAAGCUAAUUGCAAAACGCGUUUACUAUGAUCAGCAUGAUACAUCAAUGUAACAAUUUAACGUCUUGAUUAGUAUCUAAUUAGUAAAUUAUCCUCAAAAUUACAAUUUGACAUAAAAAAAUAUAUUUGUUUUACAAGCAAUCACAGUGAAAAAUAGAUUGUUUUCUCUUAAAUUACAAUUAUUUUUUAGCCCAGUUACAUAACUGCACGUAUGGUUUGAGACUUUGAGCCCAUCACAUUACAUGGUACAUGACCAAAGCCCAGUUAUGUUACCAUAUUAUUCAGACAAGAGCCGCCAUCCAGACAGAAGUGGACCACACAAUCAAGAAUCGUAUGGAGAGCAUUACAAUAUAUUGCUCGCAUCUUAUUGUGCCACGUCUCUUGGUAGGCGAGAGAUCAACGUCCACAGAUCUCUUGCUCCACUCUGGUUGGUACACGUCAUCAUAUUUAUGUUCUACUUGUUUAUGUAGACGUUCAUGUAGACAAGUGGGAAGAUUUAAAAAUAUCUUAAAGCAAGUGUGAGGCCCAUUUAGAUAUUUCUCAACGGGCUGUUCCUCAAAAGCUGCCCGUUGAUCAAACGGCUCCAAACUGUUCUGGGCAAGCUGCCCGAAAUCUUAUAAAGGAAAUUGUGGAGUGGGACUGAAUCAACGGUGGAGAAUUCGAGGGUGUACGUAACAACUCGUAGUAUCUGAACUUAGCUUCUCUCAAAAUAUCUGUGGACAUAUGUCACUAGUUUUUGUUUGUGAAAGUAUUAACUAAUUAGGCAAUCACAUGAGAGGUUGAUAUAGUAAAAUACAAUCAUGACCACAAAACUUUUAAAUAAAUAAUCUCUCUGAUUACUUCUGCAAAUUCUUUACCAAUAUUUGCCAUACUGUGAAUCUAGAGUUUUAUUUAAAAACAACUACUAUGAAUUUUUGAUAUGAUUUCAUGUUUAAGGAGAUUUAGACAGAAUUUUGGAGUAAAUCUGAGUUUACAAAAUAUAUUAUUAGGAUUAAAAACUAAUUACUUAAAUUGGUAAAUAUAUUUGUUGGUAAUUUGAAUUCGAAUUGUAAUCCAAAAACAACACUAAAACAAACUACUAGACUAUUUUAAAAAUUAGAAUUCUUAUGACUGAGUGAUGAAUCAUAUAUACUUCUUCUGUUUCUUUUUAGGAAAUUUUGUUUGUUUCAUUAUAUUUGACUUUUCCAAGUUGCUAGACAAUUUGAAUAUAGUAUAAAAUUGUUGAAUUAAUUUCAUGAUGCAUUAAAUAAUAGUUUUUCAAUUUUUGUGUGUUUUAGUAAAAAAAAAAAAUCUUAUAUAAAGAAAUGGAGGGAGUAUUAGAUGCUUAAAAAAUAAAGACAAAUAUGAUAAAAUUGUAAUUAUAGUAUGUAUGGUUAACACAAGAAUUUGAUUCGACUAAAAUUCAAAAACAACAAACUACUAAACUAUUUUUAAAAGUAGAAUUGUUUUCAUUGAGUGAUAAACCAUAUAUGAAUUGUUUAAAAAUUAAGAAAAAUAUGAUAAAAUUUUAACCAUAACAUAUAUGUGAGGAUGAUGAUGAUGGUCAUAUGGUAAUGGAGCAUAAAGGUCGUGGCAAGGCUAGGGAAUAUCGAUGACACGUAAGCGGACGGGAAAUCUUAAACCGAGUGGAGAAGCCUCCAAAUCUCUUUCUCUCUCUCUCCAAAGGCCAAAGCCACCACAAUCUCUCUUGUGUGUAUGUAUUGCUUCAGAAUCCUUUUUUGAUAUUCUUCUUCUUUUUUCUCCGAUUUUCUUCCAUCUCUCAAAAAAAUAUCCUCAAAGCUAAAAGAACAGCAAGACUAGGUGAUGAUAAUCAACAAUCUUAGGUCUUUCUUUUAUUAUGAUUUAUUUUUUCCGUGGUUUUUGCUUGAUUGAUUUGUCAGAUGAGUUUUUUUACCGAAUCAUUUGGUGUUUGGUGAAUUUUUUGUUGAUUGAUUCUCCUUGAUUUGCUUAAUUUCUCCAGUUUUGUGUUGUGUGUGUUGGUUUUCGUCACUGUUUCUACUUGCAUUUUUUUUUUCUCAGCUUAGAUUUCAUUUUUUUUUUUGUUAUCACUGAUUGAGAUUUUGUUCUUCUGAAUUGUAACAGGAAGGAGCGAAUAACAAAGACAUAGCGUUUUAAUUCAGCUUCGAUUUAGUGUACAGUGUGUUGGUAGUAUAAAAGGAGUUAAAUCUGGGUGAUGUGUAUAGAGUUUGUUCUUGCCGGCGACGACGUAUUGAUUCUCGACUGGUAGAAGAAAGGUGUUAGUUAGUUAGAUUGUGUAAAUCAAUCAUUCUAGUGAGGGAUUAGUUUCGGUUUCUGGUUUUACUUCUUCUGGAUGGCUAGUUCAUCUUCUUCAUCUGAGAGAUGGAUUGAUGGUCUGCAGUUCUCUUCCUUGUUAUGGCCUCCCCCACGAGAUCCUCAACAACAUAAGGUUAGAGCUAUAAGAUUGAAACUGGCCGUUGUGAUUUUGAUACACCAACAAUUAUUGGCAAUUCUCAUUUCCUUGUUUGAUUACUGAUUGUGUUCUCCGGUUUUUUUUCCCUAGGAUCAAGUCGUUGCUUAUGUCGAAUAUUUUGGUCAAUUUACAUCAGAGCAAUUCCCAGAUGACAUUGCUGAGGUACUUGUUGUGUGAGGCUAAAUAAUAAUAGUAUUCUCUUAGUAGUGCUGUUUUAUUCAUGUAUAAUUAUCUGUAUCAGUUGGUCCGGCAUCAGUAUCCAUCAACUGAGAAGCGGCUUUUGGACGAUGUGCUGGGUAUGAGCUUCUCUAUCAACAUUUAUGCACAGCUAUAUCCAGCAAUUCCUUUUUGUGAAUGUUCAUCUGACUUUCGCUUUGAUGAUGAACAGCGAUGUUUGUCCUCCAUCAUCCCGAGCAUGGUCAUGCAGUCAUUCUUCCAAUCAUUUCAUGUCUUAUUGAUGGCUCGUUGGUGUACAGCAAGGAAGCUCAUCCGUUUGCCUCUUUCAUAUCUUUAGUUUGCCCAAGUAGUGAGGUAAAUAGUUUCUCAACAGUUCUAGCUGUCUAGUACAGCUAAGAUUAUCUUUCAUGACUUGCUGAUUUGGUGUUGAGUUGCUAUAUCAUUUUAUGCUGACAUGUUCACAAUCCUAGCAGAAUGACUAUUCGGAGCAAUGGGCUUUGGCAUGCGGAGAAAUCCUUCGCAUUUUGACUCAUUACAAUCGUCCCAUAUAUAAGACUGAGCAACAAAAUGGAGAAACAGAGAGAAAUUGUUUCAGCAAAGCUACAACAAGUGGUUCUCCGACUUCAGAGCCUAAGGCUUUAUCACCAACACAGCAUGAAAGGAAACCUUUAAGGCCUUUGUCUCCAUGGAUCAGUGAUAUACUACUUGCCGCUCCCCUGGGUAUAAGAAGUGACUAUUUCCGAUGGUAAGUAGACUGUGUUACUGUUGCUUCUAUACGCUGGCCUCGUUCUUUUAUUUUGGUCUCUGCUGAGGACUCUGUAUUGAGGCUCUGUAGUGGGCUUAAGCUUACUUACAACUAAAACUGUUGCUUAUAUUUACAGGUGUAGUGGUGUAAUGGGUAAAUAUGCUGCUGGAGAGCUCAAGCCGCCAACCAUUGGUGAGUUCAGUAGAGUUGUUCUUUCAUUUCGUUCAUAUAUGUGUAUCCCUCAUCUGUGGGAUCUGUGGCUAUAGAAUGCGUUUUUAGUUACUUAUUUUAACUCUCACGUUGUCCUUCUAUGGCAGCUUCUCGAGGAUCUGGUAAACAUCCUCAACUGAUGCCUUCGACGCCAAGAUGGGCAGUUGCUAAUGGAGCUGGUGUCAUACUGAGUGUUUGUGAUGAUGAAGUUGCUCGAUAUGAGACUGCUACGCUUACAGCGGUUGCUGUCCCUGCACUUCUUCUUCCUCCCCCAACGACAUCCUUAGAUGAGCAUCUAGUUGCUGGCCUUCCAGCUCUUGAACCAUAUGCACGUUUGUUUCAUAGGUAUUGUUUCUGAGAUUACCCUUUCGAUUGGGGUUAAUUAGUAGUAAUCUGUUACUAGUUUUAAGGUUGUGCUUCCUCGAGUUCCUAAUUCAGAAUUGUUUCUCACUUUCCCGAUUUACUGUCAGAUAUUAUGCCAUUGCAACUCCAAGUGCUACUCAGAGACUUCUUCUUGGACUCUUAGAAGCACCACCGUCGUGGGCUCCAGAUGCACUUGAUGCUGCUGUACAGCUUGUAGAACUCCUUCGAGCUGCUGAAGAUUAUGCAUCUGGUGUAAGGGUAAGCGUCAUAUGAAUCCUUUAAAUACUCUCCAGAAAGCUAAUAGUGUCCCUUCUUCCACACAAUGAGAUUUGUUGGCUUACAAUAUGUGGGAGCCUGUCAAAUUUCAUCGGUCGAUAGCAUUGGCUCCUAAAAAAAAAAGUCAGCUUUGAUAUGUCAUCAAAAAAAUCAGCAUUGAUCACCCUCUCUUUCUUGGUGUAGCUACCCAGGAACUGGAUGCAUUUGCACUUCUUGCGGGCAAUAGGAAUUGCUAUGUCUAUGAGGGCAGGUGUUGCUGCUGAUGCUGCAGCCGCUUUGCUUUUCCGCAUACUCUCACAGCCAGCACUGCUUUUUCCUCCGCUAAGUCAAGUUGAGGGAGUAGAAAUUCAGCACGCGCCUAUUGGUGGCUACAGUUCAAAUUACAGGAAACAGGCAUGGUUCCUCUUUAUUUAUUUUUUUGCUGUUCCACCAACUUAUCUUUGAUAUGCGAUUGGCAUUCUGCUAGAAAAUUAUAUUGAAACUGACUAAUUCCACAAGUCUGAAUUUUUCAACAGAUAGAAGUUCCUGCAGCAGAAGCAACCAUUGAAGCCACUGCCCAAGGAAUUGCGUCAAUGCUUUGUGCUCAUGGUCCUGAAGUUGAAUGGAGAAUUUGCACUAUAUGGGAAGCUGCUUAUGGAUUGAUCCCUCUAAAUUCUUCAGCGGUUGAUCUUCCCGAAAUUAUAGUUGCUACCCCACUGCAACCUCCUAUCUUGUCAUGGAAUCUAUACAUUCCACUCCUCAAAGUACUUGAAUAUCUUCCACGGGGGAGUCCUUCAGAAGCAUGCUUGAUGAAAAUAUUUGUUGCCACAGUGGAAACAAUACUCAGUAGAACCUUUCCGCCUGAAUCAUCCAGGGAACAUACCAGAAAAGCUAGAUCGAGUUUUACCACAAGAUCAGCGACCAAAAAUCUUGUUAUGGCUGAGCUUCGUGCUAUGGUCCAUGCUCUCUUUUUAGAAUCAUGCGCUGGUGUGGAAUUAGCUUCACGCCUACUUUUUGUUGUUUUGACUGUAUGUGUUAGCCAUGAAGCACAGUCUAGUGGUAGCAAGAGACCGAGAAGUGAAUAUGCUAUCACUACCGAAAAUGUUGAGGCGAAUCAACCUGUAUCUGACAAUCAAACUGCUAACCGUAAAAGUAGGAAUGUUAAGGGACAGGGACCUGUUGCAGCAUUUGAUUCAUACGUUCUUGCUGCUGUUUGUGCUCUUGCCUGUGAGGUUCAGCUGUAUCCUAUGAUCUCUGGAGGGGGGAGCUUUUCCAAUUCUGCCGUGGCUCGAACUAUUACAAAGCCUGUAAAGAUAAAUGGGUCAUCUAACGAGUAUGGAGCUGGGGUUGACUCGGCAAUUAAUCAUACACGCCGAAUUUUGGCAAUUCUAGAGGCACUCUUUUCAUUAAAACCAUCUUCUGUGGGGACUCCAUGGAGUUACAGUUCUAGUGAGAUAGUUGCUGCGGCCAUGGUUGCAGCUCAUAUUUCCGAACUGUUCAGACGUUCAAAGGCCUUGACGCAUGCGUUGUCUGGGUUGAUGAGAUGUAAGUGGGACAAGGAAAUUCAUAAAAGAGCAUCAUCAUUGUAUAACCUCAUUGAUGUUCACAGCAAAGUUGUUGCAUCCAUUGUUGACAAAGCUGAACCCUUAGAAGCCUACCUCAAGAAUACACCAGUUCAGAAGGAUUCUCUGACCUGUUUAAACUGGAAACAACAGAACACAUGUGCAAGCACCACACGCUUUGAUACAGCGGUGACAUCCGCCUCAAGGACUGAAAUGAAUCCUAGAGGAAACCAUAAGUAUGCUAGACAUUCAGGUGAAGGCUCAGGGAGACCCUCAGAGAAGGGUAUCAAAGAUUUCCUCUUGGAUGCUUCUGAUCUAGCGAAUUUCCUCACAGCUGAUAGACUCGCAGGGUUCUAUUGUGGUACACAAAAGCUUUUAAGGUCAGUGCUUGCAGAGAAACCGGAGCUGUCUUUCUCCGUUGUUUCACUGUUAUGGCACAAACUGAUUGCUGCUCCUGAAAUCCAGCCCACCGCAGAAAGCACCUCUGCGCAACAAGGAUGGAGACAGGUAAACCUCAGCAUUUCUAUUUCCCAGCUCGCUUACAGUUUCCUUGGUAGUCUUUUGGUUCUUCACUAAUCCAAGUUCUCAAGGGGCUCGACUUCAUUCACUAAUCAUAUUUUUCAUAUAUCAGGUUGUUGAUGCGCUAUGCAAUGUUGUAUCUGCAACGCCAGCAAAAGCAGCUGCAGCAGUUGUUCUUCAGGUCCAAAUUACUCUGACUUUUUAUUUCAUUUGUCAGGAAUGCCACACGUGUGUAAAGAUUAAAUUGGGGAAAACCUCUGGAUUGUGUUAAUGUUAUAUAAUGCUUGGUUCACUCGAUCGAUCUCUCUUGAAUUUAUAACAAAUUAAGCUGGGAAUUUAUGUGCAACACUUGUUUUAAUAUGCCACGGAUAUAUAAGGAAAAAAUUAUCUUUAUAAAAUGAUGUGUUGUUUCAGGCUUAUAUGUAGGAUUUACUUUAGUGCUCUCUAGUCUGAAAUGGUCGUGUGUUAUUUACAGGCUGAGAGGGAGUUGCAGCCUUGGAUCGCCAAAGAUGAUGAAGAAGGUCAGAAAAUGUGGAAAAUCAACCAACGGAUAGUCAAAGUGUUGGUGGAACUCAUGCGCAAUCAUGACAGGCCUGAGUCACUGGUGAUUCUGGCAAGUGCAUCAGAUCUUCUUCUGCGGGCAACUGAUGGAAUGCUUGUUGAUGGAGAAGCUUGUACAUUACCUCAACUUGAGGUAGUGCACUGUUAUAGAUUGCUCUACAAUGCCUUUCCUCGGGUUAGAGUGAAAAUCGGUUUUCUGACUCCACUGUAUUUUAAACUUUUGCAGCUACUUGAAGCCACGGCAAGAGCAAUACAGCCAGUGCUAGCUUGGGGGCCAUCUGGACUAGCAGUUGUCGACGGUUUAUCCAAUCUAUUGAAGGUAAGCAUAUACAAACAGAGCCUAUGGUUUCCUGCGUUGAUUGUAGAUGAUCAGUAGUAGGUUCAAACCAACUCUUAAAUAAACUGGGAGUUAAACUCACUCUUAGAAACAAUUUGUGGGCGGAAGGAACUUUAGGCUCCUAGACCAUCUCUUAGCUUGCAUAAGUCGCCAUGUUUCCAAAUUUUCAUGUUCCAAGUUGGUCUUUGGUUUUGAUACAACUCUCGCUUAAAAGUCUGGUCCAGUAACCAAAGUGCUUAACCUUUAUCCAAUUGUGGACAAUCGAAUCUGGACUGUACUUAACCUUGUUCACAUCUGUUUGCUUCUAUGCAGUGUCGUCUACCAGCAACAGUACGGUGCCUUUCACACCCAAGUGCACACGUACGUGCCUUAAGCAUAUCAGUACUACGUGACAUCAUGAACCAAAGCUCCAUACCCAUCAAAGUAACUCCAAAACUGCCAACAACAGAGAAGAACGGAAUGAACAGCCCGUCCUAUCGGUUCUUCAACGCCGCCACAAUAGACUGGAAAGCCGAUAUCCAAAAAUGCUUGAACUGGGAAGCUCACAGCUUGCUCUCCACAACUAUGCCUACUCAGUUUCUUGACACCGCAGCUCGAGAACUCGGCUGUACUAUAUCCUUGUCCCAAUAACUAGCGCCCGCGCUUUUGUUUUUGGUAAUUUUUAGUUCUCUAGACAAAAAAUAUUUGGACGUAGACCAAGAAGAAUAUAUAUAUAGCUUGUUGCAUGUAUGAUGAGUGACUGACGCAAUCACUCCCACCGGCGUUGGAUUUGCCCUCGCUCUCGGGGUCUUAUAUAACUCAAACCUCUUCUUUGUACAUUUUAAAUGACGAAGUAGCACAACCUUUUUGUCUUGCUCAGUGGAUUCUAAACCGUAAUGUAUAGUAGUUUCUAUUUCAAGUUGUAUGGAAAAUUUCCAUAUAUACUUAUUUUGAAAUCAUCAAAAAUUAUUAAUAUAGCAAAAGAAAAAACAUAAAAACAAAAUAUUGGGAUUUUAAAAUAUUAUUAAGGGUAAAUUAGUAAUUUACUGGAAGAGCUUCAUAUUAGGUUCGAAAACCCUAAAGGAGUUACGCCGCUUAUAACAGACCUGACCUUGUUAAGCUGUGGUGGCGCCUCCAGAGUCUGUGAAAGAGCUUAAUCCUUGUAUCGCGAUCUUUCUCGGCAUCCAAAAAUGGUACGAUCAUCGUUCUUCAACUCUCUUCUGUUUCUUCGAAUGAUUAUCUGUUUCUCCAAUUGCUCGUUGCUUCAUUUUGUGUAUCGCUCGUUUUCAUUGCUGGUGUUUUGGAUUGGAUUUGAUUUGUUAAGCCUUUCACGAUUUGCGACUGACGGAUCUAGUUUUGCUCUCGUUUAUGUAGUCUCUAGUUGCGAACGAGGAGUUUCAGCAUAUUUUGCGUGUGCUCAACACUAAUGUCGAUGGGAAGCAAAAGAUUAUGUUUGCCUUGACCUCGAUCAAGGGUAUUGGAAGGCGAUUGGCCAACAUUGUGUGCAAGAAGGCUGAUGUUGACAUGAACAAGAGGUUUGUUUCCUUGUUUACUAGCUUGUAUCUCAGUACCUCUGUGACUAGAAUUGAACCUGCUCGAUCUGGUUUGUGUUCUAAGAAAUGUGAUAGAAGUUAAUGGAAUUCUUGAAGAAGUUGAUUUACUGUCAUGUUUUUAAUGUUUUUCCUUUGCUGUAAUAUUCAGGGCUGGAGAACUAAGUGCUGCAGAAAUCGACAACCUCAUGACAAUCGUUGCGAACCCUCGUCAGUUCAAGAUCCCAGACUGGUUCUUGAACAGGCAAAAGGAUUACAAGGAUGGGAAAUACUCCCAAGUUGUUUCCAACGCUCUGGACAUGAAGCUGAGAGAUGAUCUUGAGCGUCUCAAGAAGAUCAGGUAACAAUUAACACACAGUCCUCUGUAGUUUAUAUAUAUGCCCACUAUAAUCUAGCUAUAAUGGUAAAAGAUAAGUACACACUCUUGUGUUAGAUCAUGUAUACUUGAAAUAGUAAAAGGUAUGCUCAUUUCUGAUAACAAAAACCCAAUCUGUAGUAAAAUGAAACUGGUGCAGUCUUUGUUUCUUCUCUCUUGUUGUUCUUAUAUUGAUACUGGCUGCAAUCAAUUGAACUUUGUUAGUACUGACUGUGGUUAUCACUCUAAUGUAAACAGGAACCAUCGUGGUCUGAGGCACUACUGGGGUCUCCGUGUACGUGGACAGCACACCAAAACCACCGGACGCCGUGGAAAGACUGUUGGUGUCUCUAAGAAGCGUUAAAAAAGAGUUGGUUCGUGUUGCACGACGAGCUUGGUUCAAUGGCUUUGCUUUGUUUUGUAUUGUUUUUUGCAGAAGAGAUAGUUUAAGCAAUGUUGUUUCAUCAAAAGACGGUCUUAGCUUUUACAAUAUAUAAUUGAAUCCAAAAACUAUGUUGUUCCUAGUCUUUUUGUUACAUUCUCUUAAAAUCUGCUUGAAACAAAGUAAUAAUACAAAAUCCUCAAUUCCAUACAAAGAAUUUAUAAUCGAGAAAUCAGAUAGUGUGGCACAAGGGGCUGUCGCUGUCAUGUGCAAAUACAUCGUUAUCAGUUUAAUCACUAUCAGUAACUUUAAACACUAAAACUAAUUAUCAUUUUUUUUUUUGCCAUUCAAAACUAAUUAUCAUUUUCAAUUUUUUUCUCACUUCUUCUUCAUCACUUGUUCUCUCUCUCUCUCAUCGCCUAUACGCGAGAGAAAAGUAACGAUCUCAACCGCCGGCGCUGACCAAAGCUAUCGAUUCUCUUCCCGAGCUGAUCCCUCAGGUGAAUUUUCCUCCCGUAGAUUCACUUUUUUUUUUUUCCAGCGAGUUUUCCCGAGAAAAACCAUCAAAAAGUAGUAGCGAGGACGAACUUUGAAUUGAGAUCGUAAUCUUUCGGUGGCUUGAAGUAGCUUAUGCAUGUUCAAACUCUUCUUCAGUUGUUUGCUCAUGAUUCGAAAAUGGCUUUAUAGAUCUUCUCUUUAUCAAUUCACUAGUAUUCUACAUCUAAUAAAACUUACAGUUACAGAUCCAAUCUCAUUUCGUUUCCUUCUACUAUCUAUCUCUGUUACGAUUUUUUUUUUUUUUUUUCUCUCUUUUAGCGUUUUAGAUCUCCUCCAUGAUUGAGUUUAAGUGAUCCAUGUAUGAAGAUCAUCUGAACUAUUUUUUUCACUUGAGUGGUUUCAGUCAAUUUAGCAAGUAAGAUGUUGUAUGUGUCAAUGCUAUAACUGUGAAUUUUCAGCUAUUGUAGUUUGAUUUGUCUUUGUUAGCUUCAGGUUUCUUGAAUCUGAGUCUGUCAAAACCAUACUAUAUUUGGUGCUCGGUGGUGAGCAAGAAGGGGGACAUUGUCAGGGUUUCAAUGUACGCCAGAUGAAUAGACCAACUAAUGUUACUGGCAGUAGAAGGAGGGGGUUUAUUCUCAGCGUCUGCGUCUGGGUAUAGUAAGGGAUUGACCCUUCUUUUCUCUGGUGAUAAAGACGGAGAUAGGCCCAUGAGAGUUGUGCCGUGGAAUCACUACCAGGUGGUUGACCAAGAGGCUGACCCUGUUCUUCAGCUGGAUUCUAUCAAGAACCGAGUUUCCCGCGGUUGCGCUGCUUCCUUCAGUUGUUUUGGUGGCGCUUCCGCGGGACUUGAGACCCCAUCUCCUCUUAAAGUAGAACCUGUGCAGCAGCAUCGUGAAAUAUCAUCACCAGAGUCUGCUGUUGUUGUUGUUUCUGAAAAGGGCAAAGACCAAAUAACUGAAGCUGAUAAUGGCAGCAGCAAAGAAGCUUUCAAGCUCUCAUUGAGGAGUAGCUUGAAGAGGCCGUCUGUUGCGGAAUCACGGUCUCUUGAGGAUAUAAAAGAAUACGAGACGUUGACUGUGGAUGGUAGCGAUCUCACUGGUGACAUGGCAAGGCGGAAAGUUCAGUGGCCUGAUGCUUGUGGUAGUGAACUCACUCAAGUUAGAGAAUUUGAGCCGAGGUAUGUGAUGUGUUUACCUCUUAUUGACCAGCUUAAAUCCCAAUAUAAGUUAGUUUAAGUAGAUCCAUUGUAUUAUGCAAAUAGGAUCCUUAAUGUGAAUCUUGAGCUUACAUAAUUAGAUCCAUGGUUUUAUGCAAAUAAGAUCCUCAAUGUGAGUCUUGUGCUCCUAUGCCUCAAAAUGGAAAUCCUUCAAUUCAUUCAGAGUUUCACUUCAUAUGUGCUUAGAACCGCGAAAACUCAAUACAUCUGUUACGCAUCUUUGUUUUUGCAGAGACAUUUUAGCUUUGUUUCCUUUCCUUUGCGAUCCUCCCUCGGUUUGUUAAUGACAUACAAGAAACAAACUUGAUUUUGGUUGCAGUGAGAUGGGAUUAUCAGAUGAAGAAUGGGAGGUAGGACGACAAAGAACAUGUUCGUGUGUGAUCAUGUAAAUUCAGAAAUCAUCGGUAUCACUCUUUACUCACCUCUUGUGUGCAUUUCUCAUAGAUUUAAAGUGUAUCUGUUAUUACAAAGUUCUCUUCAAGGUUUUGGCUUGUACAUUAUUCCCAGUGUUUUGAGUGGCAACUUAUUCCUGGUUUCUAUUUUCUAAAAACGAUAAGAGAACAUCUAAAUCGAUGCAAAGAGGAAGAGAGUGGCAAUAACUCUUGUUCUUGUAGCCAUCUCAACUACAUGACGUGCGUGUACAAAACUAGAAUGCAAACAAAAUUGACUUGCGUUAUAUACUUAUUCCACUAACUGUAAAGCGAAUUCGCAACGAUCCACCAUAUUUGUUCACAUUGUCCUUGGUGAACUAAUCAAUCAUGUAAACAUUUAAUGGACUUUACGAAGAGUCUGGAGUCCUCUGUUAUAUGAAUUGCUUACCAGCUUCUAUACCAUAGCGUUUCUGGUUGCAAGUACUUACUUAACCAUCUUGCCAGAGAAAGUUGACAAUCUGAUGACAACAUAGGGUUAAAAUGUAAAAUUAAAAACAAUAAGGGAGAAAUUAUGGAAUACAGAUAAACAUUAGGGAUCAAAAUGAAAGAGGACCAGAAAGAGAAAUCUACCGUCUCUUCUUCAAACCAAACCCAGAACCCCCGUCCGACGUUUUCCCGGUGAAGAUAGAGAUGCGGAGGAUCAAUUCACUGUACGGAAGAAUUGGUAUGCUUAGGAGAGUACCCGAAGAAUCUACGAAGAAAUCUCAUACAUUGCUCGCCUCUCUCUCCUUCUCUACGGAAGGUAGUUAUGGCGGUGACGGUGAGCUUCAGCAGAACAGCUCCAAAGUCAAGAUCUUUGAUCGAGAUCUCAAGCGAAUACAUGUGUAGUGUUCGAAUUCAUCUCUACAUUUUCCUCUCUUUUUUUUGUUAACCCAGUUUACAAAUUCCUUGUCUCUGAUUUACAAUUUCUGUGUUCGAUUGAAGCGUGAUCGAGCGGCGUGGCUUUCUCGCCAAAAAAACGAUUCUUUUGUUGACGCUGUUGCAGAGAAUCUACUUGACCGCUUAGAGGUACUCUUUUGUUUGAUGCAUGAUCGCCAUUCAGAGAGUAGAGAGCUCUAUUUAGUAAAUCUUGUUUUUGCUCUUUGUUAGGAUUGUAAGAAGAGUUUUCCCACUGCAUUUUGUUUGGGAGGAUCUCUUGGUGCUGUUAAGCGAUUACUACGUGGUCGCGGUUAGUUAUCUCUCUCUUGACAAGAGUCAUGGUUUAGAUUUAUUUCCAUCUGUAUUUUGAAUGUUGAUGAUGAUGAUUUUGUUGCACAGGUGGGAUUGAGAAGCUUAUCAUGAUGGAUACUUCAUAUGACAUGAUUAAAUCAUGUAGAGAUGCUCAAGAGGAUUCACUCGAUAACUCCAUUGAAACAUCUUAUUUUGUUGGUGAUGAAGAGUUUCUGCCAGUCAAAGAGAGGUAACAAGGACUAUAUUGUAAAAUUCGUUUUUUUCGCCUAGCCGCCACUUACUAGAGUUCUAUACUUACUAACAUAUGGUCAAAUGUUGUAUGUGAAGUUCGGUUGAUUUGAUCAUAAGUUCGUUGGGGCUUCAUUGGACAAAUGAUCUUCCUGGUUCCAUGAUACAGGUUUUCCCUUUUUGUUUGCCUUUGUUGGUGUAUGUGAAUUGGUUUGUCCUCUGAGUAAAUAUUCAUAAUGUGUUGGUUUUGGAUUGUGAUAACUGCAGUGCAAACUAGCGCUGAAGCCUGAUGGCCUAUUUUUAGCAGCAAUUCUUGGCGGAGAAACCUUAAAGUUUGUCCUGUCUUUCAUCUCGACUCAAUAUUGAAUCUCUAUCUGAUAUCGUUUUUCUUAUGAGCCUUUAUGAAUUGAAUUUAUUUAUAAGGGAGUUGAGAAUAGCAUGCACUUUGGCUCACAUGGAGCGAGAAGGAGGUAUUAGUCCCCGGCUAUCACCUUUGGCACAGGUGUGUGUGAAUAUCGUAGCAAGUUCACUUAAUUUUCUUUCAAAGCUUGAAAAUAGCAGAAAUUGCAGUUUGUAGAUGACAGAACCAAAAGGCUGAUUUAUAGUGAAAGAAAAUGGCUUCUCUUUCUUUCAGGUUAGGGACGCAGGGAAUCUCUUAACCAGGGCGGGUUUUAGUCUUCCUGGUGUUGACGUUGAUGAAUAUGUAGUCAAAUACAAGAGUGGUAAACUGUUCCACUUUUUUCUACUUCAUCGUUGGCGAAAACGUGUAUCCUCCAAUAAUUAUUUUUGACUUGCCUCUUCGUUUAUAUCUUUCUACUCAGCGAUGGAUCUUAUAGAGCAUCUUCGUGCGAUGGGUGAAACCAAUGCUCUUCUCGAGAGAAACAAGGCUGGUUUCUUCUUGUGUCAGAAUUUUUCACAAUUAUGACUACUAUAUACAUUUGCUAAACUAAAAUGACUUGAAAAACAGAUUUUGAAUCGCGAAACUGCUCUGGCCACGGCAGCCAUAUAUGACUCCAUGUUUGCCACAGAGGACGGCACUAUACCUGCUACUUUUCAGGUCUGUCAAUAGAAUUUCAGAACUAACUCAACCUAGCUUCACUAUUCAAGUUGAUUUGCUACAAUCCAUGCAGUUGACAACAUGUGAGGCCUUAAAGUAUAUCGUUUGACAUUCCUGUGUAGGUAAUUUACAUGACAGGAUGGAGAGAACAUUCGUCUCACCCGCAGGCCAAACGAAGAGGUUCAGCCACCGUAUCCUUCACUGAUCUCCAGAAGCAAUUUGGCGGUCAAUCCUGAUGGAAUGAUUAAAGAGGAGAACACAUUCAAUAAACAGAGACUUUACAAUGAGACUCGAGAGAAAUCAGUGACUUAUCUAUAAAAUACUGUGAGGAACUCAUUCACUGGGCGAAAGCAUCGCAAUCAUGACAAAUGCUUUCACCCAAUAAUGUAAUAGCUGAUCAGAAGCAUGUUUGUAUUUUACAAAAAUAGUUUGAAUACUUAAACUCAAUCUUCAAUCACGAAACAUUAUCUCGCGCGAGGCCUCUUUAAUAGAUUCGUAUACAAUGGACCAAACUUCACUAAAACAUUAAUCAAAACCUUAUACGUAUAUUCACAACCAUUUGAUUGUGUUUUGUGGUGCGUAAUCUUGUUUUGAGUAAGAUUAGGUACCUAACACUUGUUUUAGUGCUACCUAAUCUUACUCAAAACAAGAUCAAACGUGAUCGUGACCGUCCAGAUAAUCAUACACUGAAAUAUUCAACGGCUCCAUUUCCACAGCUCCAUUCACACAAUACGUCGUCGUAUCACCACACCCAGAAUUUCCCGACACAAAACCACCGUUACUGUGAACGAUCCCGGCGUCGAUGGCCAUUCCGGCAUUAGAAGCAGCUUGCUGGAUAGACCUCGGCGAAGUUUUGGAAACGAUUGAAGGAUUAAGCAAAUGAGGAAAAUUGAGAGAUUCUAACGAAUCAGGUUGGUGUAAACAGAAGAAAGCAACGUCGUGUGCUACGGCGGCGCCUUCGGCGGUUGAGAAUGAACCUAACCAGAGACGAUCACGAGUUCCCGGAACUCGAAUCUCCGAUACCCAUUUGCCCCAUUUCCGACGACGGAUUCCUUUGUACUUUGACUGAGUUUCACCGGCGUCUCUGUAAUCCAUUUUUUGUAUGAUCGAUGCGAAGAAGAAACUUUUGAGUGUUGUUUAUGUUUGAAUCUGAAGAUACGAGACUAUUUAUACGUUGAAGUUUAACGAAAGUCAAAUCAUAAGAUAUAGUAUUUUUAAUAUGAAUCAUGAAUGAGAAUGUGGUUGACCAAUUAUAAAUAUAGUUUUUUAAUUAUCGAAGAAAAAAUCAACUGGUCAAAGUGGUAUCAAUUUGACAUGUGCCUUACUGACUGGUCAAUUUUUCUUUACAAGUUGUAAUUUUUGGAUUUUGGCUAGUAAAUUCAAUGUAUUUGAAAAGUUAACAGUCAUUUUUUAUAAAACAAGUGGUAUAUAUAAUAUACCGUUCUGUUUGGUUUCAAUAUGAAUGAUGUCAUGUGUUUAUUUACUUAUUUUGAAUGUAAAAAAAUUAAUCAUAUUUUAUUUAUUCAAAAAGGUGAAUUUAUAGUUUUUCACCUUUUUGUUUUUUGAUAUUCAAAAAGUUGUAAGUCAUAAUCUAUAGUUUUUAUAAGUUGAAGAUAAGAGCGGAGUUAUUUUAUUUUAAUUUUUUGUUGUCGAGAUUCAACAUGACAUCUCUGUCAUUUUUUAAUCUCAAAACGUUUAUACUGAGACUAUCAGUUCCGGUUAAUUUUUUACGUUUUUUUUUGUAGUAAUAGUUAUGCAUUUGACCAAAACAUAAUGUGAAAGUGAAGAGUAUGAGUAUAAAAUAAAUCAUUAGAAAUUAAUUAAAUAAAUUAAGAAAACAUAUGUAUAAAUGUGUACUUAGAUACUGUUAAGUGUUUAACUCGUUGUAAUAAUAAAGAGAAAAGCAGUGGAAAAAAAAUAAAAUAAAAAGUCGAUUCAAACUCCACCGAUGAAGAAGAAUGUGAAAACGUCGUCAUCUAAGGUUAAACCACGUGGGAUAAAGAAAAAAACAACAAAGACUUUCUUUGCCUUUUUUGGGUACAAAUUGCGUCAUGCGUUACGUGAGCACCGUCUAAAGCGGGUCCUUUAAUUUGUUUUUUUGGUAUUUGACCAAAACCUGUAAUGAGACUGUCCACGGGUACUACACACAUACAACAGCCCAAACUAGUUGGAAAAAGUUGUUUUUUGUCUUCUUCUGUGUCUUUAAUAUUGCUGACUCAGAGACAUGGUUGUCGAAUAUUAGUUCACACACAACCACAUCCAAAACACGAAUCAUCCACGGAGAAACCCAGGCCCAUCAUGUAUUUAAUGUGAUGCAUAACCAAUUCUUUAUACUUGAUUAGGUUUGCGUUUACACAGACAAAGGUACUUACUUCAAGUUUAGGGUGUUAUUAGAGUUUUUACUAGGUAUUUUGAACACCCUAGUUUUUUUUUUUUUUUGCUAGAUUUUGAACACCCUAGUUUAUUAGAGUUUUUUACUAGGUAUUUUGAACACCCUGGUUUAAAAAAAAAAAAAAAAUCUACGCGAUUUGCAGUUUAAUUGUUUAUAAAAUAAAAUUAAUGUAAUAGUAUAUUAAUAUCAAUUCAUAACUCAUUUAUUAUAGAGAAAUUCCUAAAAAUAGCCUUAAAACAAGUUUUAUUGACAAUAAUAGCACACACUCCAUAAACUUCCAAAAAUAGCACUAGUUAAGUUACUAUUAGUUCUAAAACUUUUAUUACUAGUUUAUUUUUUCAAUAAUACCACAAUUUUAAUAUAAAAGCUAUUCAACAAAAUAAAUUAGAAAUAAAUUUAAAAUAUUAUAUUUGGGUUCUCUAUUUCCAAUUUAGGGUAUAUAUUUCCACCAUUUAAAAGAGAUUUUGAUUCAUUUUAAUAUUAGUUUAUGGUAUUAUAUUUGGGUUCCCUAUUUCCAAUUUAGGGUAUAUAUUUCCACCAUUUAAAAAAGAUUUUUAUUUUAAUAUUAGUUUGUGGUAUUAUAUUUGGGUUCCCUAUUUCCAAAUUAGGAUAUAUAUUUCCACUAUUUAAAAACAAUUUUGAUUCAAUUUAAUAUUAGAGUAGUGUUUGCUCUCU
rnacentral:lncRNA from 1 species